rnacentral:lncRNA from 1 species
GGUUUUCCUCUCUUGAGCAAGGAGGUUUUCACAUUAAAUUCUUAUGUUCUUUAAUUUCUAGUGAGGUUCUAGCUUCUAUUGCUUGACUAUUUGAUUGCUUGUGACAUUUAGGGAUCUGGUCCCUCAUAGUGUGGUGCAACCUCCCACCCCUAUAUUUUAAUAGUAUUAAUUAUGAUAGAUCAUGUCUGAAUAUAAGCCCAUUGUUCAUUCUGACAUAGUUGAACUAUGAUAUAGGGAAAAUUUGUCAGAACAUAGUAAAUGUAAGAGCUUUCAAUGGGGAUCAGAGAAACACCACCGUGAAAAUUAAGUUACAUCUUCAAAUAGGCCAAUGAAAUUCCUAGCUGAGUUUUAAGUGAUGGAUAUUGCCACAAGUUACAAUCUGCUCUUAGGAAGGCCUAGGAUUCAAUACAGCAGGGGACGUUUCUUCAACAUUACCUUAAUUGGUGAAAUUCAUAUGGGAAAAUAAUAAAGUGGUCAUCCAUGGCAAAGGGAGCCAUCCGAGUCACCCAAAUGGUUAUGUUCCAAUGAUUGAAGAAGUCCCUAGAGGGAGUGAUUUUUUUAUGAUGGAGAUCAUGAAUAAAGCUGAUAAAGACCCAACUCCCUAUGAGCUAAUGCCUUUGAUCUACGAGAUGUUGGCCACUACUAUGCUGAGAAGCGGUAUUGAGCUCGGAUAUGGUUAGGAAAGAAUUUGGAUGGAAUUAUUGAGCCUGUUGUGAUCCCAAAUUUUUUUUCAAAUACGGGUUAGGCUAUGUGUCAAAUAAAGUAGAUGACAGGGAGACUAAGAAAAAAGGUCGAGAAUAGGUGAAGAGGUUAUCUCCUCUCUACUAUUCAUUUCCUAUAUCUAUAAAGCCUAUAAGUGAUUCCCGGGGAUGGAAUAAGGAACUUGUUCAAAGAGUAUGAUGUUGUUAUAUAAGAUUUCCCUGAGAAAACUGAGAUCAAGACAAUUGAACUAGGAGAGGAGUAGUCGAAUUGGACUUCUACUCCAAUCAUGACUCCUGGGUUGAUAUGGUAGAUAAAAGGAUAAAUAUUUACUUUUGCAAAAUCGGUGGUAGUUUAAAUGAGUAAUGAGACCACCCUUCAAGUUUUAUUUACCUCAUUUUCACUUUUUACUCUUUCCAAAUGGCUCAGACCCGCUCUAGUAGGGAUCAUAGCCAACAUUUGUAAUUUUCUACAAUUAAAUAAAGGCCUUCCUUAUUAGAAAAAUAUUUUCCACCCAUUUUUGUGACAUUAUCUACUAAAUAUAGACAAGCUUAUGUUGUUUGUGAUUUUAAUAAUAAUAGUUUAAAAUCUACCUAUCGUUCCAUGUCAAGAGCUAAAUAAAGAAAUUAAGGCAGAUAAUGAUAAUUGUGAAGCAUAUAAUGAGGGAGCGAUGACUUCACACUAAUGAACAGAGGAACUUACAGAUUUUGAGGAUUAGGAAAGACCUGACCUAGAGGAAACUAAGGUAAUUAAUCUAGGUGAUGAUAGUAAAGUAAAAGAAACUAGAAUUAGUGUUCAUCUGAUGAAAGCACAUAAAAGACAACUCAUCAGGUUGCUUAAAGAAUACAUUGAUAUAUUUUCUUGGUCAUAUGAUGACAUGCCAGGAUUGAGUAUAGAUAUCAUGUCGAACAAGUUGCCAAAUGACCCAAGGUUAAAUCCUGUGAAACAAAAUCUCAGAAAUUCUAGCCAAAUCUGAGUCUUAGAAUCAAGAAAAAAGUCACUAAGUAAAUCCAAGACAAUGUAGUUGAAGUUAUAAAGUACCUAACAUGUCUAGCCAAUAUUUUUCUAGUACCAAAGAAGGAUGGAAAGAUCAGGAUUUAUGUCGAUUAUAGAGAUUUGAGUAAAGUCACCCCUAAAGAUAAUUUUACAUUACCCAACAUCCACAUUCUCACUGACAACUGUGUGAGGCAUGAAAUAUAGUCAUUCACAGAUUAUUUUGCCGAGUAUCAUCAAAUACUGAUGGACAAAAAAGAUGCAAAUAAAAUGUCUUUCAUCACACCUUGGGGUGUUUAUCACUAUAGUGUGAUGCCUUUCAGUCUUAAGAAUGUCGGUGUUACGUAUUUUAUAGCCAUGACAACCACAUUUCAUGAUAUGAUCCAUAAGGAUACUGAAGUGUAUGUGGAUAAUGUAAUAAUCAAAUCUUGCAAGAGUUUGGACCAGUUGGACCAUUUGGGAAAGUUCUUUGAUUGGUUACUGAAGUACAAUUUGAAGUUGAAUCCUGCCAAGUGUGAUUUUAGGGUUUCAAAUGGGAAGCUAUUGGGUUUCUUAGUUAGUAGAAGGGGAAUUGAGUUCGACCCAUUAAUAAGAAGACUCAAAAACUUGCUCCUCCGAAGACAAAGAAGGAAGUCAUGUGUUUCUUAGGAUGAUUGAAUUACAUCAAUAGGUUCAUAUCCUAGUCAAUGGUUAUUUGUGAACCAAUCCUCAAGAUGGUAAAUAAAGAUGUUCCAUAUGAAUGGACCAAGGAAUUCUAGCAAGAUUUUGACAAAUUAUCUAUCUAGUCCAUUGGUACUCGUUCCUCCAAGAGAAGAAAGCCCUCUAUUGUUUAUUUAUCAAACUUAGAAAACGCAAUUGGAUAUGUCUUAGGGCAAUAUGGUUAAACUAAUAAAAAGGAGAGAGAAAUAUAUUACUUGAGUAAGAAGCUUACUUCACAUGAGUCUCAUUACAUGCUAUUGGAAAAGACAUGGUGUGCAUUGACCUGGGUGGCCCAAAACUUGAGGCAUUACCUGACGUCAUAUAGAAUAUAUCUCAUUUUAACUGUAAUGCCCUGAGAGUACACCCUGGGUGUUAUACGGCUCUUAUGGUUUGAGGGACUAUAAGCUAACCCAUAAUCUAGUACCUUCUGUGAGCACAGAAUAACAUAAUCAUAAAUGCGGAAGAAUAAUGGAUAUGCCAUAAGGUUUUAUUAUUGAAUCAAUACUGAAAUAUGAAUCUAGAGAAAACAACUGUCUGAAUCUGAUAAAAUACUGAUAAACUGGAUAACUAACUCUAAUGCCUUAAUACUGAAUAACUGACUCUAAUGUCUAAUAAGUCUCUAAAACUAAAUGACUGUGAGUUGAUGGGACAUGCCCCAACUAACUCCAGCUAACUACUAAACUGAAACAUGAAAUAAAGUAAGCCUAUCCUCAAAGUAUAAGGACUCACUACUGCUACUGUAGAGGAUUUGAUAAGUCUAAUCGUGAACUGAGAAUUGAGUGUCAGAACCUAUGAUAUAAUAAAUCAUAUCACAAAAGAAAAGGUAUGCAAUCAGUACUUUGAAUGUACUAGUAUGCUAAAUAAGGUAGGCUAAUAUACAUGUUUUAAAUAUACAUGCAAAGCAAGGAGUACUGAAUAGAGAGCACGAAAUCUGUAGGUACUGGAAAUAUAUAGAAAUCUAUAAAUACUAAGUAUGCAUAAAAAUCUGUAAAUACUGAAGAUACGUAAAAAUCUAUAGAUACUAAGAAUGCUUGACCAAGCAGAUAACAUGAACUGAGUAAAAUUUGUAAAUUGAAAUAGCUGAAAGCUGUAACUUUUUUCAAACAACACUAAGACUAAAUAACUGAACUGGUACUGUAACUGAGACUAUAUUUGAGACUAUGGGAGGUAUCAUCUAACCGACAUGCCCCAAUAUGAGCUAAUCGGGGUUCAAAUUAUAACCCUAGUUGGAAGGAUGUUAACAUAGUACCAUGGCUACUAACACUGGCUGUGAGGAUACACUAAACUAAUAUGAUGUCCAAAGGACUAAGGGUGUCAAGCCUGAACUGACGGGUUACCCCUGGGAGAUAGUAAAGCUUAACUGACGGGUGACUUCUCAUAUCCUAUGCUGGCUACGUAGUUCUGAAGUAUAGGGACUAAUACUAACGACUCUGCGUAUAUGAUAGAUAAGAUGAUAUUCCUACACUCACUUGGUGCUAAAUCCUACUCCCAACUGAAAGACACUGAAAUACUAGACUAUUCUGAGUUUAACUGACUGAUAUCUAACUAUUCAGAUAAUGCUCAUUGUAUGUUUUGAAGACUAUUCUGUAAUGUACUGAGACUAGAAAAAGUAAACAACUAUGGUUUUUGGGUAUUUAAUACCCCCAAGAUUCAAAACAAUAAUAGUAAAAGGACAUCCAAACUUGGAAGACAUAACAUGAAGGCUUUUAUUAAAUCAAUCACUCUUGUAGGCAUUUUAUCAAACACUUCUACUUCAUAGUUUAGUCAAUUCAUGGAAAUAGUAUAAAACUUGAAAUAAUAGUAUGAUUUCAAAAUUUAUAGCAUUAAAUCAUGAUCUAAUUCGAAGAAUGACAAUAAUCAAACAUGUGGGAAUUGAUAACAAUGAUGAUUCAUUAAAGUAUGGAAUAAAAUCAAUAUUCAUGGAAGUUCAUGGAGAUUCAUAGUUUAAAAUCAUAACUUAACAUCAUAAAUCUUUAAAAUAUGAUAACUUUUGAAAUUAAAUUGAUACUUGGACUCCAUGGGUGAAAAGAACCCAUGGAUGAACAUCUAACAUAGCUUGGUUGAUGAUUUCGUGAGAAUUGAUGGUGAAUUCUUGAGUUGGUGUCUUGAAUUUUUAAAGCUAGGGUUCUUGUUCUUUAAGAGAGUUGAUUUUAAUUUGAGAGAAUAAUGCAAAAGUGAUCAAAUCAUGUUCUCUAAGGGUUAAAUUCCAUGUUUAGGUGGAUUUGGGGCCAAGGUAAAAGACCAAACGGCCCCUGUAAUUUAAAAUCACAAAACUAGAAAAAUUCCCAAAACGCACCACUAUUGAGCCAAGCCACUAGAAAAGGGACAAUUGAGAAAAUGCAUAGUGGCGCUAUACGGCGUAAUAGUGUUGCCACCUUAUUUGUAACCUGAAAGGUCAUCGCGACGUAGUGGAAUUGAAAAGAGAAACUAGAAACUGCAAAAUGUCAAUUUGGCCUUUGGCGCGAUGCACGAAGAUCGCGCACCUUCAAUGGAAAUUGCCAAUCGUUAUUUACACUGGCUCCGUGAUGCGCUAAGGGUUAAAAUGACGAUGUUUAAUGACAGAAACUUAAAAUGUCCAUAACUUCUUACCCAAUUAUCAAAUUUAAGCAAAUUUUAUAUCGUUGUAAAGCUAAUUGAAUUUCUACUUAAUGGCAGGCUCUAAAUUGAAAAUUAAUGAGUAUUUCAAAAAAUUUAUAUAUGAAUACUCAUGUAUUGGGACUUAGAUUAUGCUAGAAAAAUACGGGGUAUUACAAUAUAUCCCCCUUGGGAUCUUUUAUCCUCAAAUGAGACUGGUUAAGCUGAGGGAAAACUGAAGGACUAAGCUUACACACUGAACUAACUCAUGAAUGCAUAACUAAAAUGAACAUGAUGUGAAACUGAAACUGAGCAUGAUAGAGAGAAAUCUUAAGAAGAUUAAAACCUUAAACCAAAUCUAAAUUCGUAGAGAAAAGAUGAGGGUACUUGGUCCACAUAUCUGCUUCUACUUCCUAAGUUGCUCCCUCAACGGAAUAAUUCUGUCAAAGAACUUUGACUAGUGGAACCUCUUUGUUCCUUAGUCUACAAACUUAAUGAUCGAGAAUUUUGACUAGAACUUCCUCCUAGGAAAGACUAUUCUGAACAUCUACACUUUCUAAGGGAAAAACUAUAGUAGGAUAACCAAUACACUUCUUCAACAAUGAGACAUGGAACACUAGGUUUACUAAGGAUAAAUCUAAAGGCAACUCAAGCUCGUAAACUACCUUUCCAAAACAACUGAGAAUUCUGAAGGGACCGACAUAUCAGGGACUGAGUUAACCUUUCUUAUCGGAUCUCUUCACUCCCUUUAUGGGAGAGAUUUUUAAGUAUACAAAAUAACCGACCUCAAAUUCAAGAUCCUUUCUCCUUACAUCUGCAUACAAUUUCUGUUGGCUUGGGGUAGCCUUAACCCUUUCUCUGAGAAAUUGAACCUUCUAUAACGCAUCAAACACCAAGUCAGGCCCUACUACUAUGGCCUCACCUACUUUAAACAAACCAAUUAGAGAUCUACAUCUCCUAUAAUAGAGAUCCUCAGAUGGAGCCAUAUGGAUACUGGAAUGAUAGCUGUUAUUAUAUGAGAACUCAAUCAAAGGCAAACAAACAUCCCAACUACCUUUAAAAUCAACUACGCAUGCUAUCAGCAUAUCUUCUAGAGUCUGAAUGGUCCAUUUUGCUUGACUAUCUGUCUGAGGGUGGAAAGCUAUACUAAGAUGGACUUAGGUACCAAGACCCUUUUGGAAUGCUUUCCAUAAGUGAGAGGCAAACUGGGUACCUCUAUCUAAGAUGAUAGAUAAUGGAACACCGUGCAACCUAACCAACUCUCUGAGAUAGAGAUUGGCAUAGUCCUAGGCUGAAUAAGAGGUAUGGACUAACAAGAAAUGAGUUGAUUUGGUAAUCCAAUCUAUGAUAACCCAAAUAGACUCAUGUUGAUGAAGGGUACGAGGAAAACCUCUCACAAAAUCCAUGUUCACUUCUUUCUAUUUUCAUGUAGGAAUACUAAACUCCUGCAUGGACCCACUAGGCUUUUGGUGGUCAAUCUUAACUUGCUGACAUAUAGAGCAUUUAGAUACAAACUCUACAAUAUCCCUCUUCAUUCCACACCACCAAUGGAUUCUCGCAAACCCCUGGAUGAAUAGGGUAACGCGCACCAUGCGCUUUUACAAGAAUUCAUUGCCUUAAAUAUUCUACCCCAGGCAUACAUAAUCUAUCUUGAUAAAGCAAUACAACAUCCCUCCCUUGGGAGAAAACCUCCACAUUUUGAUGUCUGACUGAUUCUUUUAACUUAAUUAGACUAGGAUCUCUAUCCUGCUUUUUCUUUACCUAAAAAACUAGAGAUGAUUCUAAGCUACUCUGAACCUAUACACUACCUUCUGUUGAAUCGACUAAGCGAACACCUAGUCGGGUAGGAUAAUGAUCUUCCUGAGCUAACUUUUUCUUACCAUCCUCAACGUGAGCUACACUACCUAUAGACAACCUACUAAGAGCACCAGCCACUACAUUGGCCUUGCUUGGAUAAUACAAAAAUCUCAUAUCAUAAUCCUUCAAUAACAAUAACCACCUAUUUUGAUGUAGAUUUAAAUCUUUUUGAGAGAACACAUACUGCAGGAUCUUAUGGUCAGUGAACAUAUCAACGUGCACCCCAUACAAGUAAUGCCUCCAAAUCUUUAAGGCGAAUACUUUUACUGCUUACUCAAGAUCAUGAGUCAGAUAAUUCUUCUCAUAGGGUUUAAGUUGUCAGGAGGCAUAGGCUAUGACCUUAUCUCUCUGCAUGAGGACACAACCCUAACCUACUCUAGAUGCAUCACAGUACACAACUAAACCAUCUGAACCAUCUGGCAAGGUAAGAACUAGGGAUAAGGUAAGUUGAGUCUUCAACUCCUGAAAACUCUUCUCAGAGAAAUCUAACCACUGAAGGUUAACUUUUUUCUGAGUCAAUUGCAUAUAGGGGGAUGCAAUAGAAGAAAAUCCUUCAUAAAUUGACGGUAAUAGCUAGCUAAACCUAAGAAACUCCUGAUGUCUGAUAGAGAGAUAGGUCUAGGUCAGUUUCUCACUGCCUUAGUCUUUUGAGGAUCAACUCUAACGUCAUCACCGAAAAUACUAUAGACAAGGAAAGAUAUUGAUCUUAGCCAUACUUACUAAAUUUAGUGAAUAACUGGUGAGAUCUAAGAGUUUGUAACACUAUUCGAAGAUACUCUGCAUGAUCAGUUUUGCUAUGGGAAUAGACAAGAAUGUCAUCGAUAAAGACUAUAAUGAACAUGUCCAAGCACUACUUGAACAUGCAAUUCAUUAAGUACAUGAAAGGUACUGGAGCAUUUGUCAGACCAAAGGACAUGACUAGAAAUUCAAAGUGACCAUACCGUGUUUGGGAAAGUUGUUUUCAUAAUGUCACAUUCUCUGAAUCUGAGCUGAUGACAGCCUGAUCUGAGGUCAUUCUUAGAGAAGAAACUAGCAGCCUAAAGUCAGUCAAACAAGUCAUCGAUUUUAGGAAGUGGAUAUUUAUUCUUGACUGUGACUUUGUUUAACUUACGGAAGUCUAUGCAAAUUCUGAGAGAACCGUCUUUCUUACGCACGAAUAGAACAAGUGAGCCCCACGAGGAGAUGCUGAGUCUGAUGAAUCCCUUAUCUAGAAGAUCCUUUAGCUGUUAUUUUAACUCCUUAAGUUCUGCUAGAGCCAUUCUAUAUGACGGAAUGGAUAUGGGCUGUGUAUCUUGAAGAAGGUCUAUUCAAAAGUCGAUUUCCCUUUCAGGAGGAACUCCGGGAAGAUCUUCAAAAAAUACAUUUGAGAAUUCAUUUACUACCAGAACUGAGUCAAGAGUUGAAAUUUUUGAGUUACAGUCUUUGACUAGUCCAAGAUGGUAAAUACACCUCUAUUUAAGGAAUGGUUCAUUUGGGAACUAAAAAUGAACUAUUUUAUUUCUACAAUCAACUGAGGCAUAACAUGAGUGGAGCCAAUAUAUGCCAAGAAUAAUGUCAAAAUCCGUUAUCUCUAAUUCUACGAGAUCAACUGAAGUAACUUUCUGGGAUAUUAUGACCGAACAGUUCCUAUAUACCUGUCUAGCUAUAAUGGAAACACCUACUAGGGUAGACACUGAAAAUAGCUCUCUAGAGUUUCGGGACUGACUCUAAAAUUGAUGGCUAUAUAUGGAGUUGCAAAAGAAAGAGAAGCUCCAGGGUCUAGUAUGGCAUAAACAUGUAAGUGAAAGACCUGAAAUAUACAAGUAACCACGUUAAGAGAAUUUUCCUGAUCUUCGCAGAACUUAAGAGCAUAUAAUCUAUUGGACGCUGACCACUGGUAGCACUGGAAGUGACACAAUGUUGAGUUGGGCGAUCGAAUAAAAUUGAUGACUGAUAGGACUAGCCUUAUUGGCGUAUAUCCCUACCUUUCAGAGAAACUACCCGACACUCCUAAAUUCGAUAUCCUAGCUUGGUACACCUGAACCAUACAUCAUUACCCGUUCUACACUCACCCUGAUGGUGUCUGCCAUAUUUCUGACAUAGAUGAUUUGUACGAGCACUGCUAACACUGACCUUAGAAUUAAAGCCUGGUGUUCUAUCCCUAUUUUCAUUUUUGAAUUUGGGUAUGAGAGCACUGGCUGAAGAGGGUGCUAGGUCUGAAGACCUCUGAUGAAACUGAGGAUGGUUACCACCCUCUGACUUUGGCUGACUGAAGUUAAAACGAUCCAUCCUAGCCCUCUUAUUUCCUCUCUACCUCUACUUAAUCUUUUUCUUCUCUAUCUAUUGAAAAUAGACCACCAGCCUAGACAAGUCCAUCUCACUAAUUAGUAUUACGGUCCUGCACUUUUUGAUAACACUAUCAAAUACGCCUGACACAAACUUACUCAUCUUGGACCUACUAUCAGCUACCACAUGAAGAGCAUAUCUAGCUAACUAAGUAAACUUGGGGGAAUACUCCUUCAUGCUCAUGCUUCCCUGCCUCAAGUUAAUAAACUCUAACACCUUGGCCUCCCUCAACUACAAUGGGAAGAAUCUGUUUAAGAAAGUUGUGGGAAACUCUUCCUAUUCUACAGGCCCUGCAUCUUCACCCAUAUUAACCUUCCACUGCUUAAACCAAGUAUGGGCUAUAUCCUACAGCUAGUAUCACCCAACUCAUCACAUUGACUAGAUAUCACCCCCAUAGAAUCCGUGACCUUCUAAACCAUAUCUAAGAAUUCCUAUGGAUCCUCUUCAGACUUGGAUCCCUUGAAAGAAGGAGGAUUCAUUUGAGUGAAAUCUCAAAUUUGUGUUCCAGCAGUAUUGGAAACUGGGUUGGCCAGAAUAGCAGAUGAUCAUUUAUUAUAUGCUACUAUGGAGUUCGCUAGAGUAGUGAAUGUAGCUCUAAAUUUUAUGUGAGAGGCAUGCUUAUCUAGAGGAUCUUCUUAGAAGGGAUAAGGGGCUGGCUGGUUUUCUAUUCUUCUUCCGUUCUUCUUGGGAGGAAUGUUUUGUAAACAAAAGGAAGAAAUAGAUUAGAUAGGAUUUUAAAUUAAGAUUAUGCAUACUCGCACAACAUGAAUACUGAAAGAAGGGAAACUUUUUCCUAAAUACCUUGUAGUCUUUCCUCCAUAAGUGUGGUGCGCUACUCACCCAUGCAUAAGACUCUACUUGAGGGGCCACAAGCUAAUCCAUGAGCUGGUACCUGCUGUGAGCACUGAACAACAUAAUCGUAAAUGCAGAAGAAUAACUGAUAUACUAUAAGGUUUUAUUACUGAAUCAAUACUAAAAUAUAAAUCUAGAGAAAAAAACUAUCUAAAUCUGAUAAAUUAUUGAUAAACUGGAUAACUAAUUAUAAUGUAUGAAUACUGAAUAAUUGAAUCUAAUAUCUAAUAAGCCUCUAAAACUGAAUGACUGUGAGUUGAUGGGACAGGCCCUAACUAACUACUAAACUGAUACAUCAAAUAAAGUAAGCCUUUCCUCAAAGUUUGAGGACUCACCACUGCUACUGUUGAGGAUCUAAUAAGUCUAAUCACAAAUCGAGAACUGAGCGUCAUAACCUAUGAUAUAAUACAUCAUAGUGCAAAUAAAAGGGUAUGAAAUCAGUACAUUGAAUGUACUAGUAUGCUAAAUACGAUAGGAUGAUAAGCAUGUGUUCAUGAACAGAACUAAUAAUUAACUGAAUAUGCAUGUAAAGCAUAGAGUACUGAAUAGGGAGUAUGAAAUCUGUAGGUACUGGGAAUAUAUAGGAAUCUAUAAAUACUAAUUAUGCAUAAAAAUAUGUAAAUAUUAAAGAUACAUGAAAACCUGUAGAUAGUAAGGAUGCAUAACCAAGCAUAUAAUAUGAACUGAGUAAAAUCUGUUAACUUAAAUACUGAAAUAGCUGAAAUUUGUAUGCUUUGGUCAAAAAAAUAAGGCUGAAUAACUGAACUGGGACUGUAACUUAGACUGUAUCUGAUAUUGUGGGAGGUAUCAUCUAACCGACAUGCCCCAAUCUAAGCUAAUUGGGGUCCAACUUGUAACCCCAGUUGAAAGGGCGUUAAUACCAUGCCACAGGUACUAACACUGGCUAUGUGAAUCCACUAAACUGAUAUGAUGUCCAAAGAACUAAGCGUAUCAAGCUUGAACUGAUGGGUGACCCCUACGAGAUAGUCAAGCAUAACUGAUGGUGACUUUUCAUAUCCUACACUAGCUAUAUAAUUUUGGAGUAUAGGGAUUGAUACUAAUGACUCUGGCUAUCUAAUGGGGAAGCCGCCAUCCCUACACUCACACGGUGUUAAAUCCUACUCCUAACAGAAAAACACUAAAAUACUAGACUGUUCUGAGUUUAACUGACUAAUAUUUGACUAUUCUAAUAAUGCUCAUAGUAUGUUCUGAAAACUAUUAUGUAAUGUAUUAAGGCUAGACUAAGUAAAAAACUAUGGUUUUUGGGUACUCAAUACCCCCAAGACUCAAAACAAUAAUAGUAAAAGGACACCAAAACUUGGAAGACAUAACAUAAAGGCUUUUAUUAAAUCAAUUACUUUGUAGGCAUUUUAUCAAACACUUGUUUUCCAUAAUUUAGUCAAUUCAUUAGAGUAGUAUAAAACUUGUAAUAAUAACAUAAUUUCAACAUUUAUAACACUAAAUCAUGAUCUAAUUCGAAGAAUGACAAUAAUAAAACAUAUGGGAAUUGAUAACAACUAUGAUUUCAUUAAAGUAUGGAAGAAAAUCAAUAUUCAUGGAAGUUCAUGGAGAUUCAUAGUUUAAAAUCACAAUUUAAUAUCAUAAAUCUUGAAAAGAUGAUAAAUUUUGAAAUUAAAAUGGAUACUUGGACUCCAUGGGUGAAAGGAACCCAUGGAUGAACAUCUAACAUACCUGGGUUGAUGAUUCUGUGAGAAUUGAUGUUGAAUUCUUGAGAUGCGGUAUUUAAUUUUGAAAGUUAGGGUUCUUGUUCUUGAAGAGAAUUGAUUUUAAUUUGAGAGAAUAAUGCAAAGCUGAGAAAAUAAUUCUUUCUUAGGGUUAAAUACUGUGUUUAGGUAGAUUUAGGGCCAUGGAAAAAGACCAAACGGCCCCUGUAAUUUAAAAUCGUAAAAUUGGAAAAAUUCUCAAUUUUCACCCUUAGCACGAUGUGCCACUAUCGUGCCAAGCCACUAGAAAAGGGACAAUUAGGAAAAUGCAUGGUGGCGCUAUGCAACGUAAUUAUGUUUCCACCUUGUUUGCAACCUGGAAGCUCACCGCGACGUGAUGGAAUCACAGAGAGACUCUUGAAACUGCCAAAUUCUAAUUUAGCCUUUAGCACGACGCGGCAAGAUUAUGCAUCAUCACUGGAAAUUGCAAAUCAUCAUUUAGAUUGGCUCUACGAUGCGCUAAGGGUUAAAAUGACGGUGUCUAAUGACUGAAACUUAAAAUCACCAUAACUUCUUACCUGGUUAUUGGAUUUGGGCAAAUUUUAUAUCGUUGGAAAGCUAAUUGAAUUUCCUAUGCAAUUGCAGGCUCCAAACUGAAAAUUAAUGAGUAUUUCAAAAAAUUUAUAUAUCAAACUCAUGUAUUGGGAGUUAUAUUAUGCUAGAAAAAUAUGGGGUACUACAGCAACAUGGAUCUUUUGAAGUACAUAUUCCAAAAGACCAUACCCAUAGGGAAAUUGGACAAAUAACAAAUGUUAUUGAGUGAGAUCAACAUUGUAUACGUGACUCAAAAAACAAUCAAAGAAAAAUCUUUAGUGGAUCAUCUAGUAGAGAAUCCAGUUGAUGAAGAAUAUGAGUAACUUUGAACUUAUUUCCCGUAUGAAGAGGUACUUUUCACAGGAGAAGACAUUGCUGAAGUAUACUCAAAUUAUAGAUUAUUAUUUGAUGGGGUGGUUAAAUUUAAGGGUUCAGGAAUCGAGGCAGUCUUAAUAUCAGAAAAUGGUCAACAUUAUCUAGUUACCGCAAAACUGGACUUACCAUGCACCUAAAAUAUAGCUGAAUACAAGGCUUGCAUUCUCUAUCUCAAAUUGGAUAUUGAUUGAAUGUUUAGAAAUUGCUAGUCAUUGAAGAUUCUAAUGUAUUGGUUCACCAAAUUCAAGGGGAAUGGGUUGUAAGGAACUCUAAAAUCACCCCAUAUGUAGAAUUAGUACUGGAGUUAUGCAAGAGAUUCAAAGAAGUGGAAUUCAAGCAAAUUCCAAGGAUACAAAAAUGAGUUCACCGAUGCUUUGGCCACUAUAUCCUCUAUGAUUCAACAUCUGAAUCAAAGUUACAUUAAUCCUUUGGAAAUUAGUUUAAUGGAGUAAACUGCAUAUUGUUCAAAAAUUAAUGCAAAACUAGAUAGAAAGCCAUGGUACUUUGAUAUCAAAAGGCAUUUAGCAGUUGGGGCAUACCCUUAAGAUACAAUCGUCAAUCAGAAAAAAUGACCCACCGAAUGGCCAAUAAUUUCUUUUUGAAUGGGGAAGUCCUUUAUAGGUGGACCCCUGAUUUGGGAUUUAUAUGAUGUAUAUAUUUUAUUGAAGCUACAAAAUAAAUCAAAGAAAUCCAUGUUCGAAAAUAUGUACUUUAUAUGAAUGGGUUUACUCUAGCCAAUGAAAUCCUACGAGCCAAAUAUUUCUAAAAGACCUUAGAAAGUGGCUAUAGCAAGUUUGUGAAAAAAUGUCAUAAGUGUCAGAUACACUGGGAUCUGAUUCGAGUACCCCACAUGAACUUAAUAUUAUGAGCUCGCCUUGUCCAUUUGUAGCUUGGGGCCUGGAUUUCAUCAGCCUGAUUGAGCCACCAGCUUUUAUUGGACAUAUAUUUACCCUAGUUUAUAUCAAUUACUUUACUAAGUAGGUGGAAGCGAAGGUAGUAGUAGAUUUUGUCAAAAACAACUAGAUUUUGAAAAUGAUAUGUAAACUGUUCAAGAUCACUUAUCAGAAUGGAGAAAAUGGAGAAAACUUUAAUAGUCACCUAAUAAAAGAGAUAUGUGAACAUUUCAAGAACACUUAUCAGAAUUCAAUUACAUAUCACCCUUAAAUAAAUGGAGCUAUAGAAGCUGACAAUAAGAACAUUAAGAAGAUCUUAAGAAAGAUAAUUGAUAGUCACCAAUCAUGGCAUAAUAUGCUAUCUUAUGAAGAAUGCAUGACAGUCAAAACUUUGACUGGGUCAACUCUUUAUGUGUUAGACUAUGGGACAGGAGCGGUAAUACCCGCUGAAGCUAAAAUAUCAUCUUUAAGAAUCAUCCAAAAAGCAGGCUUAUUGUGAUUGAUAAAAAAAGGAUGAAGUUGUAUGUCAUGGCUAAUUAUAUCAACAAUAAAUAAUUUGUGCUUUCAACAAAAGAGUAAAAGUGGCAUGUUAGAAGUUGGACAAUUGGUGCUCAAAUGCAUAUUCCCUCACCAAGAGGAAUAUAAAGAAAAGUUUGCUCCAAAUUGGCAAGGGCCGUAUGUAAUUUGAAAAGUAUUAUCUGGAUAAGCCUUGAUUUUGUCUGAGAUGGAUGGCCAAAGAUGGCCCAAGCCAAUCAAUUUUGAUACAGUAAAGAGAUACUUUGUCUGAUGUGGUGUUUUUUAUGUUUAUUUCCUUGUAAUUGCUUUUCCUAUUUGUAAUCAUUUUUAUGCUUUGAAAUAGAUUUAAAUUUCCCCAUACUCUUGUACGAACUACCUUUUACCAAAAUUUCUUAAGAAUGAGAUACAUAGGUGGCCUAUGUCGGCUUUGGUUAACUCCUUAGGAGAAAAUUCCCUUUCCUUUUAUGUAUGAACUAUGUUUGACUUUUACUCUUAAGAAUGAGAUAAGUAGGUAACCUAUGUCGUCUUAGAUCAACCCCUUAGGAGAAAAUUCUCUUUCCUUUUAUGUACAAACUACGUUUGACUUGAAUUCUCAAGAAUGAGAUAAGUAGGCAGCCUAUGUCGGCUUUGGUAAAAACCUUAGGAGGAAAUUCCCUUCCUUUUUUGUAUAAACUAUUCUUGACCUGAAUUUCGAAGAAGAGGAUUCGUAGGCGGCCUAUGUCGGCUCCGGUCAACCUCUUAGGAAACUUUAUUUAUAUUCUCUUGAGCUACAUGAUGAGCUGAAUUCCCAAGGAUCGGAUACGUAGGUGGCCUUUGUUGUCUUCGAGCACCCACUAAUUGUAUCUUCAUGCUCUUUUAUGUUGUAGGAAUUCCGUUUGACCUGAUUCCUGUUCAACAGAUACAUAGGUGCCACAAUGGCUUGAUCAUAUCACCCUAGAAAAUUGAAAUUAGGGAAGAAUUUUUGAGAAGAAAUCUCAAAAAUUCACAAAGGGAUAUAUUGUUGACACCCAAUUUUGGCUCGCUCUUUUUCAUCUAAUUAUUUUUUGAUGUUUAUUAGCCCUAAGUAGUUUUUUUUUUCAAUAAUAAAUUCAUAUUUUUACUUCUAUUUCUGUGAAUUUUGAGGAGAAUAAAAAGAGGGUUUAUUUUCCUAUAGUAUUGUUAAAUAUUUUAAUAAAAUAUUUUAAAUUAAUUAUUUUAACAUCAAAAAUCAUACCAAAAAAAUUAAUCGCGUUUGCAUUUUUUCUAGCAUCUUAUUAUAUUUAGUCAACUUUGUGACUACAUAUAUUCCUAUAUAUAUAUAUAUAUAGUUAUAUGAAGCUAUGAUACUACCGUAUAUCUUUUCCUUCGUUGUUCAUGUAGUAUAGUGAUUUCUUCACCUUGUAACAACAUAUAUAUAUAUAUAUAUAUAUAUACAUUAUCAUUAUUAUAUUAUUACCUAGAUACAUUCUUAUUAAUAUAAUAUACAUAUUCUUAUUACAUGUAUAUACACAUAGAUUUUGAUUUAAUCCUUAUAUAUAAAUUAUAUAUACAUGCUCAUAGAUAUAUACAUAUUUUUAUCCAUAUUACAAAUAUUAAAUUACAAAUUUAUUAAAUCAGACGCCUAUACAAACUAUAUAAUUUAUUUGGGCUAAUGUUAAUUCAAUUUCAACAUUAUCCUACUCAAACCCAAUUUUUAUUCAUGAAUUUCAUCCUAAGAAGCCCAAAAGCUGACCCAAAACCUGGUCCAAUAUCUAUUUCCACCUCAUUAGUCCACUCCAAUCAAUAUUCACCAAUCGUAUACUGCCACGUCAGGAACUAAACACAAAAAACCACCCAACAAACACAAACUAAUUUAAUUUAUUAAUUCUUUUCUAAUCCAAGGGCACUAAAAUUUUCAAUUACAUAUAUAUAUAUAUACAUAUAUGUAUAUAUAUAUAUAUAAUUAUUAUUAUUUCUUUUUAUUUUUAAUAAAUUAAAUCUGAUCGUUUGAUCAUUUGAUCGGACAGUCCAAAUUUUGGUCAACAGAGUAGCCCCAAAUAUGGCUUUUUCUCAAAUGUAUCUCUCUUUCCUUUCAUCUCAUCGUCAUCAUCCCUUAAUACCCUAUACCUAUACCCAGAAAAAAACCUCAACUACUUCCUUGCGUAGCCAUCUCCCUCACCUUAAAUCUAUUAAAUCUCAAUUUAUUAGUAUAAAUCCCUCCUCUUUCCUUGUUUUUUAGUCUCUUUAUGGCUUAAAAGUCUCACCCUCUCCAUUAUUAGCUUGGAGGAGAGGAUAUCAUCAGGAUAAGGUCUAUUUUUAGCCCUCUAUCUCUUUAAAAUCAACCUAAAAAUAGUAAAUUCUUAUCCUUAAUCCGUUUCUUUUCAAAAUCUAUGCUUUGUCCCAUCAACAAACUUUAAAAUUCAGAUUUUGAUUCUAAUUUGGAGCCUCUUUGAGAAGCUUACACACUCUAAAUAUGCCUAUAAAAGAGGGCUUCAGCCGUUCCUUUAGGUAAAAAAAAAAAAGAGGUAGAAAAAGGCAAACGAUAGAGAGGAAAAAGGGAUUUAAGGGGAAAGAGGUAAAAUAAAUCCAAAAAAUGGUAGAAAUUAGUGAAUCCGAGAGGUGAAAACAAAAAGGAUUCUCAAAAUUGUUGAUUUCAUUAUGAUUUCGGUCAAAGAUCGGAGUUCCUUGGUUUGAGUUUCUAGCCGCCGGAAGAUCUCAAAAUUGAUGCCUCACGUUUGUUGCCCCUCUCCCCCCCAAAAGGUGCGAGUCUUUCCUUUAAACUUUGAUUUUCACCUCCUUGUUCUUUUUAUCCCGUUUAGUUCAUUGAAUGUGUGAUUUUGUUAUGUUCUCAAAUUUGUUGUUGGCAUUUUUUUACUUUUGUGGACAAAAUUUGACUUAGAUUUUUAAAAAUGGAUCUGGUUGUAGACUUCGAUCAAGUUUGAAUUGUUGUUGAUUUUGGAAAGAUGGAAUUGAGUGUCGAUCUUAUUAAAUUUUACAUUGUUGUUAAUUCUGGGAGAUGAAUUCGUAAGUGUAUAAUUUAUGUUUGGCUACUGCUUAUUCUCCAUAGGUCAUUUUUUAUUUUCUUAGGCAUGGUUGGUCGGUGCCGAGUAUUCAGGAUAUGUAAAAUCUAUCCCUUUUCUCCCUUCCAUCUCCUUCUCAUUUGGUUGUAUCAGCGUUCCAAAUUUGUGAGUUUUUUUUAGGUUGCGCUUUUAAGGUUCUGCAGAUAAUAUUUGGAUGGUUUUUGGGUAAAAAAUAUAUUUAGUUUAAGUUAGUAAGAUUUUGAAAUAGGAGUCUUAGUUACAGUGUUAUUGGUCAGUAUCUCCAAAUUAUAUUCAAAUGGUUUUUUUGUGGUUGUCUGUAUGGAAACGUGAAUAUAUUGGUUUCUUUGUAAACUUAUGUUGUUGUUUUCAUUCUCCUAGGAAUUUGUGAUAUAUAGGAAUUUAAUUUUUAGAGAUCGUAAAUAUGCGUGAAUAUAUCCAUCCUGUUUGGGGUUGUUGUUCGUCAUUCUUAAUCUUGAGUUUUGAUGUAAAUAAUUAUCCCCUUUUGGUAUAUUAUUCAUCAUAUUUUGGUCCAUCAUACAAAAAUCAAAUUUGAAUCUGAUUUUAAAACUUUUGAAAGCCGAAUAGUGUGAAAAUCGCUAUGUAUAUUUUCGAAUAUGCUCCUAAUAACGUAUGUGCAUUGCUUACCCCAUUUUGGUGUGGUUUUUGAUUAGCCGUGAGUCAAAUAUGGGAUCGUUUUAAAUUUCUGUGGUUUUGAUAUAUAUGUCUGUUUUAUAUCAAGAAUACGCUAAAUAUGAGGAUUCCAUUUCUCUUUUCGGUGUUUAUCAAUGGAUAUGAGUUAGCGGAGAUAUGGGAAACUAUGUUCUGUUAAUGUGAAAAUUUCCUUAUUCCUUUGUUUCCGGUGAAACUUGACCGAAAUAAGUUGGACUAAGAUGUUGGUUCUCUCUUCUAUUUUUUCUUUGAUUUUUCCCUAUUUUUUUCUCUCUUUCCUCUAUCACCCAUUUUCUCAUGAUCUCUGUCCACUCACUAUUUUUUCUCUCUUUUCCCCUGGUUUCUUUGCGUGUUUUUUGCCUCUAUUUUUUUACCAUUUUUUUUCUUAAUUUUCUACUGGUUUUGCCCAAGUAUUUGUGUGUUCAUUAGUAUGAGUGGGAAUGGAGGAGUACAUGGUUGUGUGAGUGUAAUGUGGUAUGUAUUGGUAUAGUUGUGUGCAUGUGUUUUUUUUCCAGUGAGUGUGAGUGUUUGUUGGUGAGUGUAUUCCGUGUCAAUCUGUUAUCUGAGUGUUUGUUGGUGAGUGAAUUGUUGUCUUUCUUGAAUUAAGGAGUAUGUGAAUCACCUAGUUUCAUUUAUUUGUGACUAUGGGGUUGCCCGUCUUUCAAAUUUCUUUAGAGUGCAUUUUCAUCGAUUGACCUAAAAGACUUUUAAGAGUGCAGUACUACGAUCGUCAGUGCUUGGAGUUCAUAUCGUAGGAGUUGGUUCUUUCAAAAGGAAUUUAGCAUAUAUCGUUCUUACUUUUCUUUAUGUUUCUUAUUGUUAGGGUUCAUUCAAUUUUUGUGUUAUUUUGAUAAGCAAAUUUCAUGUUGCUUUGAUCGAUAUUGGAUUAAGGUUUGAUUGGAUUUAGUUAGCUUAAAAUUUCAAUUUGAUUUCAUUUUGCUAAUUUUUCCUCAACUACUCGGCUAAGUACUAAUGGUGUAUCUUUUAAUAAAUUGUUACACAUAAUCAUGAUAUUUUUUAUACAGAAGAGAAAAUCUCUUUUUAGAAUAAGAUAGCAAAUUUUGGUUCGAAUGUCAGGCCUAAGAUAAAGAUCCCAUUUUUUCGAAUUGAUUCAAGAAGCUAUGACAAUCUCUAUUUUUCUUUUAAAUAUCAAUUAUUGAUUUUUCUUAUCAUCUUAAUUGGAUUUCUUCAAAUAAAUUACUAAAAUAGGUUUCGAUUAGUGCUAAUGCAGUUUAGAAGCUUACUAAAUCCUUAUUUAAUUUUUUUAACUCUAUUUCAAGUUUUCAGAUGUUAAUAGUCUCAAAAAUAUAAGUUGUAUAUGUGUUCCUACACUACCAUAUGUAAGGUACAUUUUUACUGUAACUAUUUACCACUUUUUUUUUAUUUUACCAUUAUUAUUAUUAUUAUUACUUAUACAUUAUACACACAUACACCCACACAUACAUAUAUGCAUAUACAUAUAUAUAUGUAUUUUUCUUAAUUCCAAUCGAGGAGGAUUUCACAAAUAAAAUAAUAAUUUUUUACAUCUUAUUCACAUGCUUAUGAAUAUACACAUUUUGUAGAUAUUCUCAUGCACAAAAAAGAACACCUUUAUUUAUUCUAUAAUGAUUUUAAUUAUAUAUUUAACUUCAUAUACCUUUAAAUAAUUUUUCUUAUAGCAUUAUAAGUUUUCAUACUUUUUAUAUAUGUAUCAAUCAUAUUACUUUUUUUUUUCCAUAUUUGAAAACAUAUAUAUAUUUGGCAACAAUUAUAUUACUUCCUUGUAUAUGGUAGCGGUACAUAUACCUUGAGCUUUUUCUUCCUUUUCCUCAAAAGGGAUUACAAAGAUUUCUUAUCACCAUUUCAGCAAACUAUAAAAAAACCUUUUUUUUUCUUUCUUUGAAUACUUUUUUCCUAAAUUGAGUCUAAGGACUAUCUUUGGAUAGGCUCUGAGGGGUGCUUAACACCUUCCUCUCGAGUAACCAAAAACCUUACUCAGAACCUCAAAAAUAUUUUUGAUAGAUCAAAACAGAGUCUUACCUAAAUAAUGGUUUUCCUAAUUUUCUUAAAAAUUUAAGUGGCAACUCUAAAACUAAUUUUCAAAACCUGAGGAUCACGACAAGCCAUCACAUGUUGUGUGUUGUUUCGACCGAUUCGAAAUAGAGCACAAUAGCAUGGAGGAUCUGUUGGGGAUGUAUGAACUUAGAUUCUUACCUUAGCAUGCUUAGUUUAGGAUUUUCAUGAAUUUUAUUGUGUUAUUUUCUUUACAUAUAUAUCAUGCUUUGUGUGGAAGGAUGCAAGCCAAAUACAAACUUGCAUUUCCUGAUUGUCUGUAUAACACUACUUGUUACUGCUUUAUCACUUUCACCUUUUCUAUCCUGUAUUGGCUGUAUACAAUUCACACACUGAACACACAAGAGGUGUAUUUCACUCAUCCAAACGCUCUUUGGAUUUCUUAAUUUUAGAGUUGGUGCAAUUAGGUUAGUGUACCUUCUACAGUUGUUCAGUCUUACUCUUAACAUCUAGGGAGAACUCUCACUCUAUAAGUAGGAAAUAUUGCAUAUACCUUAGGUGGGAUGAUACAAGGCAUCGUUUUCGCAGUUAGGAAGCCUUUUGAGUCAAUGGAUUCUUUAUAAACCCAAUGCUGCUAUCUGUCUAAAAAUGACUGAUUGAUCUGAAUGUUAAGACCAUAAUAGAUUCAGGACAUUAAACUCACCCUCUUUUCUCUUUAAAUGGAUGGAAAUCUGCCAGAAUCUUUCAAACAUCCAAAUGAUGUCUGACGUUCCAUGGAUCCUAAGGCAUUGGUGGGAAAAUAUUCGGAUGGCUCAUGGGGAAGAAGUGUUGGCAUAUUUGGGAUCAUUGACCAAUUUAAUGGAACUGAGGAUGAACGAGUUGUUCAUUUGACUAAUGGUCAAAUUUUGGGAUCCAACCAUGGUUAAUUUAAGAUUCACGGACUUCGAGAUUACACCUACCUUGGAAGAAAUCAGUUAAACUGCUAAACUGUCAUAGGUGGGUCAUGCACCUUUGGCCCCACAGACUACUUCGAGAAGUGCUUUUCUUCGUUCAAUAGGAUUGAGAUUUGGCACAAGUUUUAGGAUGGUCGAGGUAAGCUGGGUAAUCCUGGGAUAUAUUUUUUAUAGGUUAUGUUAAAGAGAAAUAUAUGAUCGAUUUCAAAGUGAAUUUUUCUUUUCUAGGAUCGACUGGGAAAGGCACAGAGCCAUACUCUUCAUGGUGGCUUUCCUAGGCAUCAUAGUAUUUCCAUUGAGAGGGAACCGAAUAAAUAUUAACUUUCUUUUGAUGGUUAUAUUCAUGUGUAGAGGAUCACUUAGAGUAACAAUCAUUCUGAUUAUUUUGGUAGAAAUCUUUUGAUCAUUGUCUUCAUUUUCUAGAGGGUACGACUUAUUCUGGGGAUGAAAUCUAAUGAUUCAAGUAUGGGCUUUAGAACAUUUUUAUUAAGGAAAUAAGUAUAAUUGCUUCAAGGAGUCAGGAUGCAACCAUAUCUAUAGACACACACUCAAGAUGACUAUGUGGGAUGUUCUAAACAAUAAAAAGCGGUGGUGCACCUUCUUAACCCACCUCACUGGUAACCUUAUCCAAUGGAGACUACCAUGGAUCAACAAUUGAGCAAUGCUAAGGCAGCAAUACUAUUACUUUCUUGAAUUGAUUGGGUUGGAAAGGAUCUAGCCGUAUGCACCAUUGAGGGUUCUCCGAUAUUUUGAUAUGAUCCAAAAUAUUCCUCUAUGGUCAAACAUGGCAUUUGUAGAGGGAGACUAUGAAGCAAGAAUCCCUAUUAAAAGAAUCAAAAAUUUGAUCGACGAAUAGGGUUAAAUUUUUAGUUUUUGCAUUGGAGUCGAUCCAUAUUACAGCCUAGAAUACUAUACAUGGUAUAUGUCGGGAGAGAUUUUGGCCCGAUCAAGCUAUGAAUCACUCCAGGGAAUUGCAGACAUUUACAAGCGGAUCUGAUUCGAGACCAGCUGCUCCACCUCAUGCUUUUAUAUCCACCGCCAUGUACCAACAAGUAAUCCCAGGAUCGGUGGACCAUGUUAUCCCUGCAAUGGAUAACAAAUCUGAAGAAGAAAUGGAAGAAAAUCCAUAAGAAGACACGUAGGAAGACCCGAUGGAUGGAAUAGAAGAACAAAAAGAAUGUUGACAAAAGAGAUGAAAGAGGAUCUAGAGGAAGAAGAGUAUGGACCGAUAGGAUUCGAUGAUGAGGAGGACGGAGAUCACUAGGGGUGGCAGCCAGAUAGGUCCCCAAAAUACCACCCCGGGCCUUACUAUGACCUGGAUGAGGAUGAUGAUGAUCCCCCCGCUUGGCCUUAGGAUCCAUUUGUUGUCCUUAAUUCCCAAAAGGUCUUGCACGACCUACCUUGAUAUUUGUACUUUUGUCUUUCAUCUUUUGCUUUUCAUAAAAGGUCCUGAAUGACCUAUGUUGAUGUUUCUAUGGAAAUAUGAUUAUCAUCAUGUAAUCUUUAGUUCAAGGCUUUUCCUUUUGUAAGUUGGGGCUUUCCACUCCCUCCCCUAAUUAUUACUGAAGGUAGAUUCAUCUUUAAUUUGAGAACAGUUGAAACCUUGGAUCAAUCAAUCAUACCUAAAUCGUAGGCCCACCUCUAGCAAAAUGAGGCAAAGUAUUAGGAUGCGUUUGUCACCAACUUGGCGUAUAUAUGUGUUACAUGCUUGUUACAUUUUCAAUAUUUCCUAAACUAACAUGGUUUUCUUUUUCUUUUUCUUUCUUAUUUUAAUCCCCCAAAAGAAAAGUUGAUUUGUGUCGAUUCAAGGCUAGAUUUCCCACUCAUUUCAAGGAUCCAAAUAUUGAACUACCCCCGAUCGCUCCCGCUAACCUAACAAAUCCAGAUUCACAUUCUCAAGCCCCAUUUACUCCUCAACCCACUUUCGGGUUUGCACCUGAUUUUUUUUAUUUCCUACUCAGAAUUUUACCAUUCUAGUCCAUCCAACAAUGCAACACAUACCUGAGACACAUGUCACCUAUGAGAUACCUGUGCCAUCGAUAUGUGCUGCCGAAGCUCCUACUUUUACAACACCUAUAACUACUAAAAUUCUAUAUGCCGGAUUAGGGAUGAUAGUCCAAUCAAAUGAAUAAAGGUUGAUAGUAGCUCAACUUAAAAGUCUCAAAAUAGCAUUUAGAAAUAUGCAAGUCACCAGAGGAAAUGAAAUCUUAGACUAUGAUGACUUGUGCAUUCAUCUAGACAUCGACAUGCCAGGCGGGUACAAACUAAUGAAGUUUGAUGUGUUUGACAAAAAGAGUGACCCGCAUGAACACCUAAGGUCCUAUUGCGACAAGUUAGUCGACGUAGGAAAAAAUGAGAAGUUAAGAAUAAAGUUGUUCAUUCAGAGUUUGUCAGGAGAAGCUUUGACUUGGUACACCCAACAAGACCCUCGUAAGUGGCUUGACUUGUGGGAAAUGGCUAAAUGCUUCAUGAGACUCUUUAGGUUUAAUACUGAGAUUAUCCUAGAUAUGUUUUCAUUGGAUAACAUAUAGAAGAAGUCAUCAGAAUCAUUUCAAGAAUAUGCAUGGCAUUGGAGGACGGAGGCUGCUAGGAUCCAUCCUCUACUAGAUGAAAGUGAGCUCUCCAAGUAUUUUAUUCGAGCUUAUGAGGGUGUUUAUUUUGAUAAGAUGAUACCAAUGAUGGGACAAAAGUCUUAGAAUUAGUCAAGAUGGGGGAUUUCAUAGAAGAAGGUGUCAAGUUUGGAAUGAUGCAGUCUAUGGUUGCACUGCAAGCCGCAACUAAGGCAAUACAGUCGGGUACCAUUGGUGGUAAUAAGAAGAAGAAAGAAGAUGUCUCAGUCAACACACCAUACUAUCAACAUGUUCCUACCAUUACCCUAACAACCCCUUAAUUAAUAACCAUGUUCCGGUGUACAAUACUUAUCCACACUAUAAUCCACCUCGAGCUCCAGCAUACCAAAAUCUACCAAGACUAUAUGCCUGUACCUACACACCAAUUGAUGAACCUUUAAUCCAGCUGUUUGAAAGAUUGAGGGCAGCAGGACUGUUCAUCCGAUUGAAGGAAAAACCCCUGACCCAACCUCUCAAAACUUUGAUGGUAACAUGAAAUGUUCUUAUAACUCAGGAGUCCAGGGGUAUGACAGGGUAGAGUGUUAUGGUUUGAAGAAUUAGAUUGAGUCUCUAAUUAGAAAGGGAGUAAUCAAAUGCACCAUCGCGGUCCAAAUGUAAAAAUAACCCCUUGCCAAAUCAUGAAAAAUGAGAAGUCAACAUGAUUACUUUGGAGGAAGAAUAUAACUUGGAGAAAGAUAUUGUGCCCGCAUGGAACUCAAAAGAAGUAGCCAUUAUAUCCCAACAUAACCUUUUAUCACAGUUUAGUUGAGAGAGACCCUGAUCGUUCAGACUUACCUUCCAAGAGUCGUGGUGACAACUAUAGCCACUGGGAGGCCUAAUUAUAACACUAAAGCAGUCCCAUGGAAUUAGCAAGAUGAAGCCAAGGACAAAAUAAUAGAUGUUACUGUGGCUCAGGAGAUGACUGACGAGAUGACUAGGUUAGGAAAGUGAUACGCUCUAGAAGAUAUAAAUCGAGGAGUUAUCGAGAAAGAGUUGAACCCAAAGAGUAAUAUUACUGAUGCUGAAGCCAUAAAGUUUUUAAAGAAGAUGCAACCUAAGGACCAUUCGAUUGAAAAGCAGCUAAAGAACACACCGGCCCAUAUAUCCAUUAUGUCUUUGCUUAUGAGUUUUGAAGCCCAUAGAAAUGUGCUGAUAGAAUUGUUUUGUAGGGUUAGCAUAUCAAAGAAGACCACACGUAAGACUUUGGCUAUAGCAAUUGGAAGAAUGGUGAAAGUAGAUAAGGUCUCUUUCUAUGAUGAUGAGAUACCAUCAGAAGCGUUCGCACAUAAUAAAUCACUUUAUAUCAUAGUUAGAUAUCAUGACAAGAUCGUGAAUAGGGUUCUUAUCGAUGGUGGUUUGGGUUAUAACAUCUUUUCUUCUCCACUCUAAGGGAUUCAGGUGUAAACAAAAAAGAUAUAAAAGAGAGUUGGGUGAAGUUUAAAGCCUUCGAUGGAUUGUAGAGGAGUGUCAUCAGAGAAAUCUACCUGACAUUGCAGAUAGGACCAACUGAAUUUCCUAUCUUAUUUCAAGUAAAGGAUGUAUAAUCUAGAUAAAACCUAUUGUUGGGAAAGCCAUGGGUCUAUAUGGCAAGAGUCGUUCCUUCCAUGCUCCAUCAGUGUGUAAAGUUUAAAUGGGGUCACAUAGAAAUUACUUUCCAUAGGGAGCUCAGUCAUCCCACAUAUUCUAUCAAUUCAGGUCAAGUCAUUGGGGAGUUAGAUGGAUCCACUUUCCAUAUCCUAGAAAUCAUGCAAGUUGCAAAGAUCGAUGAGAAGAUAGAUCCAAUUAAAGUAAAAAUGUCAACUGCUACAAAGAUGGUUGCGUCGGGGAUUUUGAAAUAUUGGUAUCAGCCUAAGACAAGACUAGGACUAAAAUCUAAUGGGAUAAUUUAGCCAAUCUAGCUAAGAAAAACAGAGUGGUACCAAUGGGCAUAUAUAUAAGCCUAUCUUUGGAGAAGUCCGUAGUAAAGGAUCGAGAGUGACAGUGUUUGUGCUAGCCCAAGUCCCAAUUUCAGCACAAGCAAUUGAUGAGAAUAUCAUAUAGGGAAUUGGAAAUCUAUUUGUGGCUGUGAUUGAAGAGCACUAGAGAUGGAUUUCAAGAAGCUUACUAUUCGUGAUGUUGAACCUGGAGAAGCCUUGCAGAAUUGGACCAUCAGCCCAUCCCUAUUUCAAUAGGAGUCUUGGCAGUGUGGAAUUGUAAUUGCUUUUUAAAAUUAUUUUAUUUGAAUGAUCAAUUGAAGCUUGAAUCAUGUUGAAGCUCUUUUUAUUAGUCGCCUUUUGCCAAAUACCUAUGAUUUUCUAUUAUAAAAGUCCUUAUUCUCAAAAACUUAUUUUCCUAUUUUUAAUAUCUAUUUACUUUACUCACUUUUUAUACUUUUCAAUGUAAAUAUUAAAAAAAAUCCCUGUUCCACGAUUAUGACAUAUAACGAAUCUGUUGAGCAAAAUACAAGCGAUGAGUAAGAUUAUGGGGAGUACAAUAAAAACAUGAUGCCUGAAAACCUACCACAGGAGAUUAAGCAGCUUGAAAGUCAAAAGAAGCCUAAUAUGGAUGAAACUGAAGUCAUCAACUUAGGUGAUGAAGAAAUGGUGAAGAAAACGGGAUUCAACAUACACUUGGAGGUUGAAAGGAAGCAAGAGUUGAUAAAAUUGCUAAAGAAAUAUAUCAAUGUGUUUGCUUGGUAUUAUGACAAUAUGCCAGGUUUGAGCACUGAUAUUGUCUCACAUCAACUACCAAUUAACCCUGCGUACUCUCUAGUAAAGCAAAAGAUGAGAAAAUUCAAACCCAAUUUAAGUCUAAGAAUCAAGGAGGAGGUGACCAAACAAAUCAAAGCUAACAACGUGAGGGUCAGAAAUUACCUCACAUGGUUGGCCAACAUUGUGCUGGUGAUAAAGAAGGACGAGAAGAUAAGAAUAUGCAUAGAUUAUCAGGAUCUCAUUAAGGCUAGUCCAAAAUAUGAUUUUCCUCUCCCAUAUAUUCAUAUUCGCAUUGAUAAAUACACAAAACAUAAGUUGCAUUCAUUUGUUGAUUGUUUUAUGAGAUAUCAUCAAAUCUUGAUGGAUGAGAAUUAUGCAGAAAAGACAGCUUUUAUUACUUCGUGGGGAGUAUACUACUAUAGGGUAAUUCCAUUUAGACUCAAGAAUGUCGGUACAACCUAUAUGAGGGCCAUGACUACCCUUUUUCACAAUAUGAUUUACAACGAGAUCGAGGUAUAUGUUGAAGAUGUUGUUAUCAAGUCUAAAAAGAGUUUGGACCACCAGGAUGAUUUACGAAUAUUCUUUGAAAGGCAACAAUGGUGUGAACUAACAUUGAAUCCAGAUAAUGCGGCUUUGGAGUUCCCAUGGGAAAAUUAUUGGGAUUCAUUGUUAGUAGGAGAGGUAUAGAGUUGGAUCCAUCCAAGAUAAAGGCGAUCCAAGACUUACCACCUCCUAAGACCAAAAAGGACAUAAUGGACUGAAGAAAGUCAGAAGGCUCUCUACAAAAUCAAGGAGUACUUGUCCAACCCACUAGUAUUGGUUCCACCAGAACCCUGGAAGACGCUGUUAUUAUAUCUAUCUGUUAUGGAUAAUACAGCUGGAUGUGUGUUAGGGUAGCAUGAUAAAAUAGCAAGGAAAGAGCAAGACAUUUACUAUAUGAGUUAGAAGUUCACACUAUAUAAAGCAAGGUAUACAUUGUUGGAACGAACUUGUUGCACACUGACUUGGGUUGCGUAGAAGUUGAGGCAUUACCUAUCCAUGUAACCACAUACUUGAUUUCAAGAAUAGAUCCGCUCAAGUUCAUCUUUCAGAAACCAAUGUCAAUAGGAAAAUUGGUGAAAUGGCAAGCUUUCUUGAGUGAGUUUGAUAUUGUGUACAUCAUAUAAAAAUUUGUUAAAGGACAAGCUUUAGCUGAUCACCGCACAAAAAAUAUAGUGGAUCAAGAUUACAAGCCACUUGAGACCUACUUUCCUAAUCAAGAAGUGUUGUUUACAAGAGAAGACAGCGUAGAGCCAUAUAAUGGAUGGAGAAUGUUCUUUGAUGGAGAAUCAAACUUUAAUGAAGUUGGAAUUAGAGCAGUGCCAGUUUCAAAAACUGAACAACAUUACCCGAUCUUGAUGAAUAUUAGGUUUUCUUGCAUGAAUAAUAUGGUAGAAUAUGAGGCUUGCAUUCUUGGACUUAGGAUGACGGUAGACAUGAAUAUCAAAGAGCUCUUGGUGAUAGGAGAUUCAGAUUUGUCGAUUCAUUAGGUGCAAAGAGAAUAGACCACCAAUAAUGUCAAAAUCAUUCCUUAUGUGCAAUGUGUUAAGGAGCUCAGUAAAAGGUUCACGAAUAUCGAGUUAAAACAUGUCCUUGGAAUUCAAAAUGAGUUCGUCAAUGCCUUGUCAACAUUAUCUUUAAUAAUUUAACAUCCAUAUAAGAAUAACAUUGAUCCCAUCAAGGUAUAGAUACACGAUCAACAUACAUACUGCUUCUAUGUGAUGAAGAAAUAGAUGGUAAACCAUGGCACUAUGACAUCAAAAGGUUACUCAAAGCUGGAGAAUAUCUGAAGAGUGCUACUAGCAAACAAAAGAGAAAUUUAAGAAGGAUGGCAAAUCACUUCUUUCUCAAUGGGGAAAUUUUAUUUAAGAGAAUGCCAGACUUGGGAUUAUUAUAAUGCAUCGAUGCCACAGAAGCUACCAGAUUGUUGGAGAAAAUAUAUAUACGAACUUGUAGACCCCAUAUGAAUUGUUUCACGCUAGCAAAGAAGAUUUUGAGAGCUGGAUAUUUUUUGAUGACCAUGAUAAUAAUAGCAUUUGAUUGUGUAGAAAUGUCACCAAUAUCAAGUUCAUAGAUAUUUUAUACGAGUUUUGCCAAACCUUCUCAAUGUGAUGGGUUCCCCUUGGUGGUUUGCUGCUUGGGGCUUGGAUGUCAUUGGGCCUAUAGAGCCUCCUGUGUCAAAUGGACUUCAUUUUAUCUUAGUAGCUAUUGACUAUUUCAUAAAAUGGGUUGAAGCUUUGACACAUAAAGCAGUAACUAAGAAGGUGGUAGUUGAUUUUAUUUGCAAUAUCUUAAUUUUUCAAUUUGAGAUUCCAGAGUUAAUCAUAACAGACAAUGGGGCCAAUCUCAAUAGAGACCUUAUGAGAUAAAUUUUUGAAAUGUUUGAGAUCUUUCAUUGAUACUCCAUGGAAUAUCGACCACAAAUGAAUAGAGCAGUUGAGGCUGAAAAUAAGAAUAUUAAGAGAGUCUUUAGAAAAAUAGUGGAUAAUAACAGGGAAUGGCAUGAAAACCUGCCAUAUGUUUUGCUCGACUAUCGCACCACAAUCCAAACUUCUAUUGGGGAAACUCUCUACAUGUUGGUUUAUGGUUCAAAAAUAGUGAUAACUAUAGAAGUGGAGAUACCUUCAUUCAGAAUCAUCAAGGAAGUUCGUAGCAGGAUCAAACAAUUGAUGCUCAUUGAUGAGAAGAUAUUGGACACAGUCUGUCAUAGUCAACUCUAUCAAAAUAUAAUGAUCAAGGCAUUCGAAAAAAGGUCAAGACCCAUCGAUUCACACUAGGAAAGUUGGUAUUGAAGAAGAUAUUCCCUUACCACGAUGAAGCCAAAGGGAAAUUUGCACCAAAUUGGCAAGGUCCCUACAUAGUUCACCGAGCACUCUCAGGAGGAGCAGUAAUCCUUGCAAAGAUGGAUUGUACAGUAAGCAUGAAGCCAAUCAAUUCAGAUACUAUUAAGAAGUACUACAUUUGAAGGCAUUAGGAAUAGUCGUUAUUUUUUGCACUCUUGCACUUUUCUCUAAUGUAACAAAACUACGUAUUGGCUCGAAUUCCCAUGGAAGGAUACAUAGGAAACCCACAAGGGUUUGGUUUCCCUUAGAAAACCCAAAGAAUCAUUCUUUCAUGUAUUCAGAAUUAUGCUCGACCUGACUUCCCAUGGUGGGAUAUUUAGGCAAUCCUCAUCGUAUUCGGUCCCUUCAUAUUUUACUUUUUUUUUGUACUGAACUAUGGUCUAACAUGAUUACACCUAGAUACAUUGGUAGCAUGAUUCAGGCCCAGUCACUGUAUUAAUUUAUGUUAUCCUUUGUAUUAAACUACUUCAUGACCUAAUUCCACUUGGAUACAUAGGCAGUCUGAGUUAGACGCAGUUAUUGCAUUUUAUAUUUCUUCCUAUACCUUCAAACUAUGUACAAACCUAAUUCCUUUUCAAGGAUACGUAGGCAACCUAAAAGGUUUGGUCUUACCAAUAGGAAAAUCCCCUUUUGCUCAUACUAUAGCCCCAGAAUAUAAAUAGUCUCGCCAAAAAAUUGUCAUAGCAUCGAUGAAACUCAGUGGAACACUACCCAAAUGAUAAAGCUACAUACAUCAUGAUCAACAAAUGGAGGCUUAAUGGAUUUUAAAAUAUGUCAUAAACUCAAAAAUUAUAACACCCCGAGUCUUUACCCUGGACGCUACACGAUGCUUUUGACCUCGAAGUACCACAAGCAAACCGAUGACUGAUAUCUGCUGUGAUCACUAAAUAAUAAUAAUGUAAAAUAUGAAAAAUAGGCUAAAUACCAUAGGUUCAAAAUUUGUAAAUACUGAAUAAGUGUAUCAACUAAAAUAACAAAUUUGUAAAACUCGAACAUUGUUUGAAAACUAGUUUGAAAAGCCUCUAAUCUGAACUGUCUAAAGUGGAGUUGAAGGGACAAUUCCACAACUAAAUCCAUCUUCUAAAAUACUAAAACUACUAAAAUAAUAAAGUAAAUGAUAUCCUUAAAUGAUGAGGACUCACUGCUAAAUCUAGUACUGGCUGAAUCUGAAUCUAACUAUGCACAAUCAGGAACCUGAGCGUCCGAACUUAUGAUAUGAGACAUCAUAGCACAAGAGAAAGUAUGCAUCAGUAUGUGGAAUGUAAUGGCAUGCUAGAUGAGGUAAGGCUGAAUGCAAAGGUUCAUAUGCAUGAACAAUAACUAACUGAAUGAUAUAGAGUAACUGAACGUGAGAGUAUAUGAAUAACUCAAACUACUAUCAAUACUGGGUAUGCAAUCUGUACAUGUAGAUAUACUAUAACUGAGAUUUUCUGAAGCUAAGUACUGAGUUCUAAUACUGAGUAAAUCAUAAUCUAGGAUUACUGAUACUGAUUAACUGUAUCUGACAGUCUCGACUCUAUAGAACUAAACUGAGUUCUAUAUUAAAGACUGAAACUGAAACUAUGAGAGGUAAUCAUUUAACCAACAUGCCCCAAAUAAGAUAACAUAAUUGAGUUGGGGUUCAAUAUUUAACCUCAAUUGGAAGGGUGUUAGCACCGUGCCAUGGGUACUAACAACUAUUGUGGAGUCAGUCUUAACUAACGGGUGAUCCGUGAGAUCAGUCCUAAACUAACGGGUAAACCCUGAGUAUACCAGUCAUAUCUAACGGGAAAGAUCUCAUGCUAGCUAUGUAGUUUAGGAACUUAGGAAUUUCUUCUAGGGACCCGGUCCUAACUAACGGGUGAGACCCCUUCCCUAGGAUCGCUCGGUGCUGUCCCAACUAAAAAACACUGAAUUGAGUAUACUGAACUAGAUUGGAUUAAUACAAAGUUUAAUGAGUUUUCCUGAGUUUUGUAACUGACUGAGUUCUACUGAUCAUGACAUGAAUGAUACUAUUUGUAACCGACACUGGUUCUCGGUAAUCAACUAAAUUGCCAGGUAUUAAAUACCCCAGGACUCGAUAGCAUGAAAAGCAAAGCAAAGCAUGAUCUUGAAUAAAAUAGUAAUGUUCAUUUAGUCAUAAUUCAUCUCUAGAGACAUUUUAUCAAACACUUGUAAUGCAUUAACGUGUACAUGAAUGGGGAAUACAUGUUAGCAUGCUAUAAUGGCAUUAUUUCAUUCUCAUAGAAAAUUUAUCAAACACAUGAGAGGCAUUAUUGUUUUACUAACUCAUAAACACUUAGGGUAAACAUGGUUAUAACAAUCAACUUGCAAAUUGAAGGGUUUAUCAUGAAUAUCAUGUUGAUCAACUCAUUCUAGGAAAAAUUCGUGAGACUUGAAAUUUAAAUCAUGGAUAACACAUAAACAUGACAAUUAAAAUACCCAAACUUGCAAAUUCAUGGAUUAUAAGAUAGGAAUUACUCAAUUCAAUAUACAUGCUAUUCAAUUUCAUGGAAUCCACCAUUAAUCAUGGAUUUAAAACUUAAUAAAUGUCAAAACAUGAAUAUAAUCAAAUUUCAUACAUGUAAAUCAUGAAUCAUGAAUCUUGAUGUUUUAAAAAUGGAUUCUUGGAUCCUAUGAGUGAAAGGGAUCCAUAGAUGAACACCUAACAUACCUUAAUUUGUGGUUUUCUUAAAGUUCUUGGUGAAUCCUUGAACUUUGUGCUUGAUCUCUUGAAUUAUGGUUUUUGCCUCUUGAGAGACAAUGGUUUAAUUUAGGGGAAAAUUGGGUGAAUAAUGAAGUAACUAGGUUAAUUAAAGAUGAAUUUCAUGUUAAAGGCUGACUGGGGUGAGGGGUAAAAGACUGUAAUGCCCUCAGAUUUAAAAAACGGAAUUACUAAAAAUUCUAGAUUUUGGCACCCAGCGUUAUCCCGUGCUAUUGUAUUGUGACUAUGGAAAAUAAACAACUGGGAAUUGGACUGGUGGCGUGAUGCGGUGCCAUCUCGGUGUCUUGCUGGAUGCAAUUUUAAUCCUUGGCACGAUGCGGUGGAAUCAUGUUGCCUCACUGGAAAUUGAUAAUUAUGAACUGGAUUUAUAGCGCGACGCGCAAUUAUUGCAAAGCAACACUGGAAUUGAAGAUUACCAUUUGGUCUCCGCAACACGUUGAUGUCUCAGGUGGCAAACUGUCUUACUAAAAUGGCUCUAACUCUUGCCCGGGUGUCAAAUUUGGGCGAACUUUAUACCGUUGGAAGGCUAAUUGAAUUUUCUAUUCAAUGGUAGACUCUAAAUUGAAAUAUACUGAGCAUUUCAAAAAAAUUUACAGGAUUACUCAUGUACUAAGAUUUAAAUUAAGCUAGGGAAAUACAAGGUAUUACAAUAUCUCCCCCUUGGGAAUAUUCUCCCUCGAAUGAGACUAAUUAAGGUGAGAAAUAUGACAGAUGAGUUUAUAUGCUGAUCAUGCAAAACUGACACUAGACUAUAUGACUGAACUCCUGACAAACUGAGUUCUUAUAAUGAACAUGCAAUCUGAAGCAUGAGUACAUGUCUGAACUAAUUCAUGAAUGCAUGAACAGUAAUGGAGUAUCAAGAUUAUAACUGUAACUAAACAUGGAGCUGGGUAUAGCUAAGAAAGACUGUUACCUUCAGUUGAGAAUACUGAUGAACCUGAUAUUAUCUACUAAAAAUGUAUGAACAGUUACAUGAGGGCAAGACUAAGCCUAAAAAAUGAUACAUGAACUAAAUACGUGAACUGAAUUGAUUCCUUGAAUACAUACCAUGACUUGGGAAUGGUCAUAUGGCUAUGAUUGGGACAAGAGGGUCAACUUAUGAGUACCCAUUAUCCCUAACUAGAUUCAUGAGGUGAAGAGAGAAUGGAAGGUUUAGAACAUGAAAGCUCAAGGAUUAUAGUGCAUGUCCCCCUUGGGACACUAUGUCCCUCGAGAAUGCUGGCUUGGCUGAGAUACUAAGGAAAAGCAUGGGAUGUUGCACGGGGCACCUACGAACUAAAUCAUGACUGAAUAUUUGGGAUCUAAAACUGAGGUAUGAUACAUAUAUGGGUCUAAAUUUGUAACAACUAGGAUAUUCCAUUUUGGGAUAGGACGACUAGAUGGAAAGAUGGGAAACCAUCUGAAUUUGUCUGAACUGCUAAACUGAAUUGCUGGCUUUAAGGACUAACUCAUGCUGAAAGCUUAUACUUGACUGGAGCAUUUCUUUUCCACUCUUUCUAUAAAGUUCUAAUGACUUUAGGGAUUAAGGAACCCUGUUAUGUUCUAAAUAAGAUAUCUGAAUAAGAAACCACAGUAUAGUAAAACUCUAUAAUAUGGGCACUGAUAACCCUACCUACUGAGGUCUGAGCUGAACUGAAUUCUCCCACUAAGUUCAAGCCUACUAAAAUCUCCAAAAUAUAUUUAGCCAUUAACACAUCAAUAUGGCAUUCAAUCCCAUCUUCAUAACUAAAACCUCGUGUACAACAAGCAUGUAACAAUCUUUUCUUAACGUGAACCAUUUGCUCUCUCCCAUAUAAGCAACUACUCAUCAUUACAUUGUUUGAUAAGGAGAGUUCGUUGAAGGUUAAAACAUGAGGACCUGAAGCAUGAAUGGACACUAACUGAACUUGACAUUUAACUGAAGCCUGAGGAAUAAAAUAUCAAUAUCAUGGAUUUAUCAAGAGGUCUAAACUAAGGAUAUACAUGAUGAAAUUUGAAUUUGGUUGAUCAUUAGGAGGGUAGCUGAGUCAUGGAAACUGAGAAUACUGUAAGGUAUGGGUACCUGAGUCAUGAGCUGCAUGACCUAAGUUGGAGUUUCUAUAUUAAUGGAGCAUGAUUCAUUAUACUGAGUGAACAGGGACUCCUUAUACUAGGAACUGUAAGCAUACUUGAUUUUCAAUAACAUGCUCGAAUAUGAGCUAGGAUCAUAGAGAUGACAUGUAAGGCAUGAAUACUGAAUUACGUAUAUUACUACUAAAAUCUGAAAUCCUGACUUUGUUACUUAUUCUACUAUCUACCCCUUAGCUUAAAGCCAUUAUUCUAAAGUUGUGAACCACUUAAUCAACAGUUCUAAACUAAAUUAUCACCACUUUACUCUAAAGUCUGGGGUAGACAGUGAGGAGUGCUCUGCUAAUAUGUUGGAUCUGACAUCGAAGUUGACAACUAUAUAAGGAUUUCAAAGGAAGUAAAGCCUCAGGAUCUAACAAGGCAUAAACAUAAAAAUGGAAAGACCUAUAACAUACCCGUAACUAUAUCAGAAGAACUUCCCUGAUCAUGGAAAGAUCGGAGUGCAUAAAAUCUAUUCUGCAUUUACCACUAGUGGUACUCGAGGUGACACCCUACUGAGUUGGGUGACCGAAUAGGACUAUAGGAUGGUUGAACUGACCCUGUUGACACAAAUCUUUUCCUUUUUAAGCCAAUACUCUACACUUUCGCAUCCUGUGUCCUGGCUUACCAUAUUUAAAACACACAUCGCUUCUUGCUCUACACAUACCUAGGUGAUUUUUACCAUAUUCUUUGCAAAGUGGAUGGUUACGACCACUGCUCACACUUCCUUGGGUUUUGGAGCCUGGUGCCUCAUCUCGACAAAUAUUCCUGAACUUUGGUACUGGCGCACUAGCUGAGGAUGGAGCUGGAACUGAAAAUGUUUAACAAAAAUGGGAACAGUUGCCACCUUCUAACUUAGGCUGAGCAAAACUAAAACUACCCAUUCUGGAUCUCUUAUUCUCUCUCUCCUUCUUCUUAAGAUUCUACUUCUCAAUCUAUUGAUCAUAGACCAUAAGCCUAGAUAUAUCCAUCUCUUUAAUCAACAUCAUUGUUCUGUACUCUUUAACCACACUACUAACACCCCAAAUAUGAUCUUUCUCAUUCUGGACCUAUUGUCUGCUACUACAUAGGGAGCAUACCUGGCUAACUAAGUAAACUUGAGGGAAUACUCUUUUACACUUAUACUACCUUGCUUGAGAUUAAUGAACUCUAACACCUUGGCUUCUCUCAGCUCUAAGGGAAAGAAUCUAUCUAGGAAGGCAGUAGCAAACUCUACCCAUUCUAUGAGCUCUGCACCUGUGCCCUGUCUACCUACCACUGCUUAAACCACAUAUAAGCUACAUCUUGUAGCUGAUAGGCAGCUAACUUAUCACUCUCAUUAGAAGUCACUCCCAUGAUGUUUGUGACUUUUUGAACCUGAUCGAGGAACUCCUGUGGAUUCUCAUCUGACUUAGAUCUUAAGAAUAGGGGAGGGUUCAUUCGGGUGAAGUUCCAAAUUUUGGUUUCAAUAUUAUUGGCCACUGGGUUGGACGAAAUAGCAGCUAGCCUUUUUUUCUAAGCUACAACUGAAUUAUCUAGGGUUGUGAAUACAGCUCUGAAUUCUGCAUGAGUGAUAUGAUCGUCCAGGGAAUCUACCUGAACGAACUGAGGGGCUAACUGAUUUUCGAUCCUUCUUUUGUUAGUCCUUUUGGGAGGCAUGCUCUAUAAACGGAAGAUAGAAAUGGAUUAGACUAAGAUUUUUUAACUGGAGCUCAUACUCACUCGCACGACAUAAAUAAUGAAAGAGGGGAAACUAUUCCUAAAACAUCUCAUAGCCUCUUGUCCAUAAGUAUGGCAUACUAUACACCUAUGCACAAGACUCUACUAGAUGCGGCUUUCAGACUACCUAGGACUCUAUUGAACCUUAGGCUCUGAUACCAAAUUUGUAACGCCCCGAGUAUGUACCGUGGAUGCUAUAUGGUGCUUAUGACCCCAAAGGACUACAAGCUAAUCCAUGACUAAUAUCUGCUGUGAUCACUGAAUAAUAAUACUAUAAAAUGCAAAAAAUAGGCUGAAAUACCAUAAGGUUCAAAAUCUGUAAAUACUGAAUAAGUGUAUCAACUGAAAUAACAAAUCUGUAAAACUUGAACACUGUCUAAAAACUAGUUUGAAAGGUCUAUAAUAUAAACUGUCUAAAAGUGAAGUUGAAGUGACAAUCCCUCAACUAAAUCCAUAUACUGAAACUACUAAAAUAAUAAAGUAAAUAAAUAUCCUUAAAUGAUGAGGACUCACUGCUAAAUCUAGUACUGGCUAAAUCUGAAUCUGACUAUGCACAGUCUGGAACCUGAGCAUCCGAACCUAUGAUAUGAGACAUCAUAGCAUAAGAGAAAGUAUGCGUCUGUAUAUGAAAUGUACUGGUAUGCUAGAUGAGCUAAUGCUGAAUGUAAGGAUUCAUAUGCAUGAACAAUAACUAACUGAAUGAUAUAGAGUAGCUAAACGUGAGAGUACAUAAAUAACUGAAACAACUAUCAUUAGUGGGUAUGCAAUCUAUGCAUGUAGAUAUACUGUAACAAAGAUUUUUUGAAGCUAAGUACUGAAUUCUGAUAUUGAGUAACUGAUAAUCUGUGCUUAUUGAUACUGAUUGACUGUAUUUGAUAGUCUUGACUCUAUAGAACUGAACUAAGUUCUAUGCUGAAGACUGAAACUGAAACUGUCGGAGUUAAUCAUCUAACUGACAUGCCCCAAAUAAGAUAAGAUAACUGAGUUGGGGUUCAAUUUGUAACCUCAAUUGGAAGGGUGUUAGCACCGUGCAUUAUGUACUAACGGCUGAUGUUGAGUUAGUCCUAACUAACGGGUGACUCCUGAGAUCAGUCUUAAACUAGCGGGUGAUCCCUGAGAAUGCCAAUCCUAUCUAACGGGUGGCAUGUCAUAACCUACAUUGGCUAUGUAGCUUGGAAACUUAGGGAUUACUUCUAGGGACCCAAUCCUAACUAACGGGUAACACCCCAUCCCAAGGAUCGCUCGAUGCUAAAUCCUACUCCCAUCUAAAAGACACUGAACUGAGUAUACUGAACUGGACUAGAUUGAUACAAAGUUUACUGAGUUUUCCCAAGUUUUGUAACUGAAUGAGUUCUACUGAUCAUGACAUGACAGAUACUAUUUGUAACUGACACUGUCUCUAGGAAAAUAGCUAAAUUGUUGGGUAUUAAAUACACCAGGACCCGAUAGAAUGAAAAGUAAAGCAAAGCAUGAUCUUGAAUAACAUAAUAAUAUUCACUUGGUCAUAAUUCAUCUAUAGAGAAAUUUUAUCAAACCCUUGUAAUGCACUAACUUGUACAUGAAUGGGGAAUACAUGCUAGCAUGCUAUAAUGGCAUUAUUUCAUUCUCAUAGACAAUUUAUCAAACACACGGGAGGCAUUCUUGUUUUACUAAAUCAUAAACACUUAGUUUAAACAUGGUUAUAACAAUCAACUUGCAAUUUGAAGGGUUUAUCAGGAAUAUCAUGUAGAUCUACUCAUACUAGGAACACUUCUUGAGAUUUGGGAUUUAAAUCAUGGAUAACACAUAGACAUGGAAAUUACAAUGCCUAAACUUGCAAAUUCAUGGAUUAUAACAUGGGGAUUACUCAAUUCAAUAUACAUGCUAUUCAAUUUCAUGUAAUCCACCAUUAAUCAUGGAUUUAAAACUCAAUAAAUGUCAAAACAUGAAUAUAAUCAAAUUUCAUACAUGUAAAUCAUGAAUCUUGAAGUUUUAAAAAUAGAUUUUGGACUCUAUGGGUGAAAGAGACCUAUAGAUGAACACCUAACAUUCCUUAAUUUGUGAGUUUCUUUAAGUUCUUGUUGUAUCAUUGAACUUUGUGCUUGAUCUAUUGAACUAAGGUUUUUUCUCUUGAGAGGGAAUGGUUCAAUUUGGGGAAAAAUUGGGUGAAUAAUAAAGUAACUAGGUUAAUUAGAGGUGAAUUUCAUGUUAAAGGCUAACUGGGUGAGGAGCAAAAGAAUUUAAUGCCCUCAUAUUUAAAACUCAAAUUAUUGAAAAUUCCCAAUUUUGGCACCCAGUGCAACACGGUAAAAUAGAAAACUGGGAACUAGACUGGUGGCGCGACACAACGCCAACGCGGUGUCUUGCUGGAUGCAAUUUGGUCUUUGGCGCAACAUGGUGGAAUCACGUUGCCUCACUGAAAAUUGAUAAUUGAUAACUGGAACUAUAACAUGAUAUGCCAAUAUAGCGGAGCAACACUGGAAUUGAUGAUUGCCAUUUGGUCAUGCUCUGCUAUGCGUUGAUGGUUCAGGUGGCAUACUGUUUUACUAAAAUGGCUCUAAUUCUUCGCCCGGGUGUCAGAUUUGGGAAAACUUUACACCGUUGGAAGGAUAAUUGAAUUUCCUACACAAUGGCAGGCUCUAAACUGAAAUAUACUGAGUAUUUCAAAAAAAAUUAUAUGGGAUUACUCAUGUACUGAGAUUUAAAUUAAGCUAGUGAAAUACGGGGUAUUACAAAAAUGAUAAAGGAAUAAAACAUAUACUUAGUAUAAAUGUAAUAUAUUUACAAAAAUAUGUAUAUAUUUUUCAAAAUACUUUUAUACUUUCCCUCCUACCAAGACUCCAGAUUUGGGAAAUAAUCGAGCAGCCGAGGAAGUGUUGGAAAAUUUUGUAGACAAAUUCCCAAGUUGACACAAAUCAACACCCCCUCACAACUAAGAUCUUUCUUUGAGCAUAGAAAAACAAGAAUUGGAAGAGAUGACAUCAAGUCAAUCUUUUGAACGAGAUCAGAGAUAUCAUGUGACUUAUCACUACAACAUGAGCCAAGAGACUCUUACUCUACUUUAUUUUCAUAUACGUUGAAUAACUUUGCAAUUGAAAAAUCAUCUAAUUAUUUUGAAUAACUAAGCCAAUUGGAGAGUUCCAUCUAACUUCAGUAGAGUCAAACUCACACAUUUUGAGGACUGUAUGUAACGACCCGGGAAUACCCUAUAGUCGUCACAUGGUGCUUACGUUCCCAAAAGACCACAAGCUAACCCGUGAAUGAUAUCUGUUGUGAGAACUAAAUAAUAAUACUGUAAUUAAAGUAAAAAAAUAUGCUGAAGUGUUAUAAGGUUCAAAACAUCUUAAAUACUGAUAAAAUAUAACAUCUGUAAAACUGAAUACUGUCUAAAAAUCUAGUCUGAAAAACCUUUAACGGAAUCUGUCUAAAAGUAGAAUUGAUGAGACAAUCCCCUAACUAACUCCAUCAACUGAACUACUACAUCUACUGAAAAUAUAAAAUUAUAGAAUAUCAUUGAAUGAUGAGGACUCACUUCUAAAUCUACUAUCACUGGCUGAAUCUGAAUUUACUAUGCAUGGUCGGGAAUCUAAGCAUUUGAACCUAUGAUAUAAAAUAUCAUAGCACAAAAAAGUAUGCGUCAGUACGUGGGAAUGUACUGGUAUGCUAGAUGAGGUAAGUCUGAAUGAAAGGGUUCAUAUACAUGAACACUAACUGACUAAAUGAUAUCGAAUAACUGAACAUGAGAGUACAUGGAUAAUCUGAAGUAUGGAAAAUAAUGAGUAUGCAAUACUGUGCGUUUAUAUAAUGCUGUAACUGAGCUUUUCUAAAGCAAGUACUGAAUUUUAAUAACUAAGUAACCUAGUUAUGAAUUGACUGUAUCUGACAGUCCUGAUUCAAUAAAACUAAACUGAGUUCCACACUGAAGACCAAAGCUAAAACUGAAACUAUGGGAGGUAAUCAUCUAACCGACAUGCCCCUCUAUAAAUUAAUUUGGGUCCAACCUAUAACCCCAGCUGGAAGGGUACUAAUACCGUGCCACAGGUACUAAUACUAGAAAGGUAGGAUUCCAAGCCUAACUGAUGGGUGACACCUGGGCGGAUCCAAGCCUAAUUUGAUGGGUGACCCUUGGGAGGUAUCCAAGCCUAGUCUGAUGGGUGACUCCUCAUCCUGUGCUAGAUACAUAGUUUUGGAGUACAAAGACUGCUGCUAAUGACUCUUCCCAUCAGAUGGGAAAGCUGUCAUCCCUGUACUAGCUCGGUGCUAAAUCCUACUCCUAACUGAAUAGAUACUGAACUCUUAUACUGGACUGAACUAAACUGAAUUCACCGAGUUUCCUGAGUUUUAUAACUAACUAAUUUCUACUGAGUUCUGUAUCUAACUGAGACUACUAUUGAUCGUGACAAAACUAACACUAUUCUGUAACUGACACUAGCUCUAAAUAAAUAGCUAAAUUAUCGAGUAUUAAAAACCCCCAAGACUCGAUAGCAUGAAAAGUAAAGAAUCACAUGAUCUUGCAAAGAAUAAAAAUGUAUACAUGUUCUUAUAUCAUCUAUAGAGACAUUUUAUCAAGCACUUGGGGAGCAUAACUUCAUGCAUAUAUUCUUGGAUAACAUAUAAACAUUACAACUACAAUGCCCAACUUACAAUUCCAUGGGUUUAGCAUGUAAUUCAUAUAAUUCCCCAUAAAAUACUAAUCUAAUUUCAUAAAUCAUAUAAUAAUCAUGGAUUAAAACCCAAUUAACAUCAUAGACACAUUAAUCACAUUGUAAAUUCAAGGGUUUAUCAAGAUAAGUAUAUAUUCAUCACACAUGAUAUUCAAUUUCGUGAAACUUUCACUUAAAUCAUGGAUUGAAACCCAAAUACUAUCAUGAACAUAAAUUCAAUCUAAUUCAAACAUAGAAAUCAUAAAUAUGAGAUCUUGUAUUUUUAAAAAGGGAUUCUUGGACUCUAUGGAUGAAAGGAACCCAUAGAUGAACACCUAACAUACCUUAAUUUGUGAAAUUCUUGAAGUUCUUUAAGGACUUCUUGGGGUUGACCUUGAUUUCUUGAACUAGCGUUUCUGCCUCUUGAGAGAAAAUGAUUUUGUUCUUAAGAGAAAGUGAGGAAAAAUGACAUAAUAGGGUAUUUAGGACAUAAUUUCAUGUUUAAAGGUUGAUCUGGAUCAUGGAAAAAGACCUUAUUACCCUUAGAAAGUUUUCAAUUUUCAUCAGUGAAAACCCGAGUUGGGCACCUGGCGUAACGCGACGCUAUCAUGCCGUGUCACUGGAAAUGGAUGAUUAGGAACUGGGCUGAUGGAGUGACGUGACGCUAUCGCGAUGCCUCACUGGUUGCGAGUUUUCCCUUUGGCAUGACGCGCCAUAAUCGUAGAGUCACACUAGAAAGUGAUAAUUGGGAAAAAAGCUAGUGGCGCGACACAGUCGUAUCGUGUUGUCUCACUGGAAAAUGACAAAUGCUAUUUGGACUGCCUCCACAACACUCUAGAGUACCAAGUGGUACACUAUCUUUCUAAAAUGGCUCUAACUCUUUACCCGAGUGUCAGGUUUGGGCGAAUUUGAUAUUGAUGGAAAGCAUAUUCAAUUUUCCACACAAUGAAAAGUCAAACUGUUAAAAAUUUCACAUGUAUAAAAGUGUAUUAAUCUUUAAAGCAAGUCUUUGAUAUUUUUAGGAUGAAUUUAAGCUAGGUAAAAGUAUGGGGUAUUAUACUAUACAUAAGCAACAAAUCAGGCUUCCGCAUUUUAAAGCUAGUACAUAAGAAAACAAAGUCAAGAUUUCACAUCUUGAGGAGUUUACAUAAGUAAAUGAGUCCAAUUUCAUAUUUUGAAGAUUGUACUUAAGCAAGAAAAGUGAUCCUAUGCCACAUCAGAGGAUGUGAAUGAAUGAUACUACUAUCUACCAUAUCAAAAGUUGUGCAUCUGUAAGGGGAACACCCUGCCACAAAUCAAAAAAUAUAUUAGAGAAUCAUAUUUCAGCAAACAGAGCACUGUCUACCAAUUAGAGACUUGCACCAUAACAAGCACGCUGAAUAUCCUGCUAUCACAGCAAAUGUAUCUAAAUCCACUAUGGUGGCAGCGAGAAAGCCACUAUCAUAGUACCAUCAAAUCCCAACAGCAAUACCACCAUCUAGUUCAUAUCAAAGGUCACCAUUCCAGGAUAAGGCAGUUACUUUUAAGGUUUUUCCCUACCAUUAAGGGAAUUUACUCUUUAACCAUCGCCAGCUAGUAGGAUGGCAUUUAUUUCCCAACAAAUACCCGCCAGUAGGAUGGCUGUUAUUUUUCAAUAAUUUAUCGCCAGUCAAAUGACUUAUUCUUUAAUUACUCGCCAGUUGGAUAACUUUAUUCUACAACAACUACUCAGUUGACAAAGGCUCCUUAUAUUUCAUUCAUUGCUCCGUCAUUCAGAGGACUCCAUAAAUGGAGAUCACAAAACUAGUUUGAAUAUAUAAACUCCACUCUUUACAUUAUAAUUUUAAUUUGUAUUUUUUAAACAAUAAGUACUUUUCACCCUUUUUACUUAUUUUGCAGGGCCAAGCAGUAUAACAUGGAACGACCGUCUUUGCAUCAAAUUAGGGCAAGGUAGCUGACUGUCAAGCAUUCCUAACUAUGUUAAAGAUUUAUUGAAGAAACUCAACUCAACUUAGUUUAAUCAUUUCAUUUUUUUCUUUGAUGCCAUAGCCAGUGUCGUCUUAAUCUGACGCUAGGGCAGCUUUCAAAAUUUGCAGUCCCUUUCUCUCUCAAAAUCCUCAAUAGAUAUUUCUAUCCAAAGCUUUCUUAUUCCUAGAUAUCCCAAACAACCAUUUUAGGGACAAGUGCACCCCUAUCCAUUCCCUUUUCCUGCUAAAAUGUUUGCAAUCACCUUCGAAGGAAUCUAGUAUCACCAUAAUUCUACACAGGGGCCAAUUUUGAAUUUGAUCAAAUUUCGUAUGAUUUGAACUAAAAAUGGCCUAAUAUCUCAUGAAACUCUAGAGGUGUAGGAAGCUCAAAAAUUGGAGUUCGGCCAUAAUAUUCAUGAGUCGUAUCCUAGAAAGUGAGUUGGACGCCUAUAAUUGUCCUCCUUACGACUCUAUGAUCCCACUCAUGACUUGACCAUACAAUUUGUAUAGUCUAGUCGUAUCUAAGAUAGACCCAAAGGAUUAGACAUUAUAAAACAUACAAAUCAACCCUACCACUCGUAACCUAUUCUCACGGCUCUGAGUGAUCUACUCGUACUCAUAGCAGAGUUAAGUCACUAAGUUAUUGAUUUGAUUAAGGUUUGUCCUAAUAACUCAUCACCACCCCAAAUGACUCUUACCACUGAGUCUUAACCAAGAUUAAAAAAACCCAUCCACCAUCUACUGGACACCUUACGACUAGGGUCACCUAGCCAAUAACUACUUCAUACAACUUAUAUGAUAAGUCAUUACUAGGAUAGUCAACUCAAAGCUUAAGAAUUUUCCAAGGGUUUAAAAAAUCUGGGAUGUUUCAUUCCCCUAAUCCUUCAUAAUCAAAUCCCAUAUUUUCUUAAAUAUUUGAUGAAUAAAUCUCAGUAUAAAGGUCCAGUCUCUCAAGUCGUAAGGACUAGGACGCUAAAAAUUUUAUUCUUCUUGAUAAUUAUCCUAUAAAAGGUUUCUUUGGAUUAUAAAAACAAGUGGUGGGUGAAAGGUUAGGAGACUCUUCUCCUAAAAGAGAUAAUAUUAAAGAUGGUGAUUUCGUACAACCUCCAAAUGAUGAGGAUGAGGAUGAACCACCACUGAGGUGGUCAGUGCAGAAAUAAAGGGAAAGUAAAGGAAAAGAGAAGGCGUAAGCGACUUCGUACUGCUAUAGGCUCUAGUUAGGACUUAGAUAUGAACACCCCCCUUUGUUAGAAUCCACCCUAAAGUUUCUUAGUAAACAGGGAUCGUUCAGUAAUGACCUAGUCUUUCGCGAGACUUCAGGUUUACCUCUUUUGUUAGGUCUCGACUUAUCCGUUAUGAUCGCGUUUUGUACCCCUACUAAGAACUUGAGAGACGGAACUAUGACUCACGGAAGCGGUAUAUUAGUGCCUUAUGCGGGAAAUCCUUGCUUGACUUGUUGAUCAUCUAUCAUUACUGGCGAAGCAAGCAUACCGAUAAUCAACUCGCUUGAGAGAACAAUUCGAGAAGGAAGACCCCAAGCCAGCCCAAGCAAGAAGGAGGAACUAAAGUCAACUAAUGCUUAAGACAUCCAAGUUCGGACAUCUAAGCCAGUUCCGGUCCUUCCAUCUGCCUCUAUCUCAAUAGCUUUCAAAAUCGAGUGAUUUGAUUAGCUUACAUCGAAGGAUGGUCUAAAGCUAGCCUUUGCUAUCAGUCCAACCAAGGGCACCCCUUCCUAGUUCGCUUAGUCGGUUGAGUAAACAAACCCGGAUUGCCCUAGCAAGAAAAGGGAUGCGCUAAGGCGCAACGGCUUUCGCGCUAGCGCGCUUAAUCAAUCCGUUGCUUCUUUCCUAAUCCCAUCGGCCAUAACGUGGUCUAUCUGGGUUGGACUACUCCAAUAAAAAAAACUAAAUCAAAAUAAUGAAAGUCAAAUACUCUUCUUUAAAUUCUACAUUACAUACUCUUUUUCUACGAGAUGCUGGGAAUCCCUUGUACCACAUAGUAUGUAGAUUUUGAAGAAGAGUAUAAAUAAGACAAAGGAGUUUUCAGAAUUUAAUUUUUUUUUUAUUUUUUUGAUCAUAAAUAAUCGCCAACAAGAAUUUGGUUCUUUUUACGAACUUGAUAUCGAUAAAUCUGCGAAUCUAGAAAUUCAUUUCGGCCAAUUGAACCUUCUCAAACUGUUUCUUUUUAAGAACCAAAAAGAUUUGUGCCAAAAUAACAGAUGCCAAGAAGAACAAAAGUCCUUGGACACGUAAUGGAUCUUGAAGUACUAUUUCUGCAUCUCCCUGACCAAAUCCGCCUAUAUUAGGAUUACUCGUUAAUGGUUGAUCAAAUUUGAUAGAUUCGCCCUCGGAAACAAGAAGUUCUGGUCCGGGAGGGAUAAUAUCAACCACUUGACGUCCCUCCGACGCAUCCGUUAUGGUUAUCUCAUAUCCCCCUUUUUCUUUUCGUAUGAUUUUGCUUACUAUACCUGCUGCUGUAGCAUUAUAAACCGUAUUGUUACUCUUGCUGCCGUCGGGAUAAAUCUGACCCCUUCCCCUGUUACCGCCUACGUAUAUAGGAUAUUUUAAGAAGUGAACAUCCUUCGUAGUAGCAGGGUCCGGGGAAAGAAUAGGGAAGGUUAUUUCACUAUAUUUUUUACCAGGGACAGGGCCUACCACAAGAAUAUUUUUUUUAUUGGGGCGAUAGCUCUGAAAAGACAAAUUGCCAAUCCUUUCUUUCAUCUCGGGAGAAAUACGAUCGGGAGGAGCUAAUUCAAACCCCUCCGGUAAAAUAAGAACAGCCCCCACGUUCAACCCCCCCUUUUUACCAUUAGCAAGAACCUGUUUCAGUUGCAUAUCAUAAGGAAUUCGAACAACUGCUUCAAAUACAGUAUCAGGAAGUACCGCUUGUGGAACCUCAAUCUCCACGGGCUUAUUAGCUAAAUGGCAAUUGGCACAUACAAUACGCCCAGUCGCUUCUCGUGGAUUUUCAUAACCCUGCUGUGCAAAAAUGGGAUAUGCACUUGAAAUGGAUGUCCGAGUUAAGAUAUAUAUCAUGAGCGAUACGGAAAUAGAUCGAGUAAUCUGUUUCUUUAGCCAAGAAAAAGCAUUUCUAGUUUGCAUGGUCCAAUCAUUGAUCGCGAAAAUUUCUACAAUAAAUUGGGUAGGUCGCUAGUAUAGUUCCCUAGCCACGAUUCUGCUAUUUGCUGGAAUAAUCUAGAAAUAAUAUAGGAUGAAUCUUCCCGAUGGUUAGAAAUAGAAAGAUAAAAUACGAUUUUCAAUACUUUGCUUAUGUACAACUACAAAGUACCAAGCAUUCUAAUUGGAUUAGAUUAAUAUCAAUGGAUCCUUUAUCAGUCAUUCAUUGAAUGAUAAAUAACUACAAGUGACGGAGACAGACGAUUUAAAUAACGGAAAAUCCAAUAUUUAAAAAUUGUAUCGAGAAUGACUGGGAAGGUGGAAACAAGACCAGAUAUAAUUUGAUCAUUAUGAACAAACCCAAAAUCUUUAUAGAUAGAGCCAAUAAUUAAUUCCCAACCGCGGGGUGAAUGGAAUCCGAUACAUAAAUCAGUUAAUAAAAGAAUAGAAAAAGCUUUUACUGUGUCACUUACGUUAUAUAGGAAUUCCUGAGCCCAAGAGUUAAGAAUAACAAGUUUUUCAUUACCCAAAAUUGAAUACCCGCUUAGAAUAAUAAAACAGAUGAUAUUUGUUGAGAAGUGCAAAAUCGUAUGGAUACGAUUCUCAUUUUGCAUCUUGAUUAAUUGGAUCGUUUCUUUAUGGAUUCCUAUCCCAAACUCUUCGAGAUGUGUUUCCGAGUAUUCCUUGAUCAUUUCGUCCAAGAAGAGGAGUUCCUCUAAUUCUAUGAAUUUUUCUAGAAGACUCUUUUCUUGAAUAGUAUUCAAGAAAAUUUCGGAUUGCCCAGUAUUCCACCAAUUAGUAACCCAAGAUUCCAGACAUUUAUUAACUGAGAAAGAAAUCCACCAGGGCAAAAAUACUAUAUAUGCAAGAUAGAAAAGAGGGGUGAAUGCUUUCUUUUUUGCCAUUUUUUCAUCUGUGAAUUGUUAAUCAACCCAUCCGUACACUCUAUGCGAUCGAAUAUUUCUUACACACAUGAGUUUUAUACAAGGUAUCGAACUUAUGAAUCUAUUUUCUUUGUGAUUUUGUGGUUAGUCUUUGAAUCUAGAAAGAAUACAGAAAUAGGCUAAGAAUUCACUUCGAAUGAAGAAAUUGAGAAUAUUGUUUCCUGAUAUCUCAAUUGGUCAAAUUCAAAAUCAAGUGUCUCCUUUCGAUGAAUGAUCGAAAGAACCACUUUAAGUAAUGAAUAUUGUUCAGAUUUUGAGAAGAAAGAACUCCCUUGUCCGCUGCUCUGCUUUAAGCCAAAACAAGGCCAGACGCAGGCCUAAAACUCAAUCUAUCUGCUAUGGACUAUUUGCUAAAGUUCAAUCGAUCGAAGCCCUUCUUUUAUUCGAUUCCGCUUCUUACGGCCGGAAGCCACUCCUUCUCUGAGGCGGCUCGCCCAUCUCUUCUUAAGAGGUUAGAGGAGGGUCUAGACAAAGAGCUGGUAAGAACGUCACCAAGAUGUAGCCUUUCCAUAUAGGAAUUCUUCCCUAGGCAAGGGUUUUAUUAAUGCUUUUGUGGAAGGUUGAACCCAACGAGCAAAAUGAAAUGGAGCGAGUAGUAUGAAGCUACGUCUUCCUAUUCAGAUAUUGGUCUUUUCCGCUUGAGAUAGCUCUUACGGGGGCAUCCGAGCGUAGGGAUCAAUUCGUAUAGGGUUUUUCCUCAUUCUUUCUAUAGGAAGGUCGACCUUUUACUUAAGCGUCAAGGGACUUUGCUUCUUCUUAACGACCAGAUGACUAUAGAGAUUCGGAAGACUCCAACCAAAGGCCAAUUGGACUAAGGCUUUUCUAUAGAAUAGGCUCCUCCCACUGCUAACUGCUAAGCUAAUUCUACUGCCGAGCUAGAAGAGCUUCUCACUCGGGUCACUAAAGACCAAGAGUCUGGACUCGCUGUGUCAUUCUAAAAGAUGCAAAAUAGCUUUUUAGCAGCUAUAACACGAGUUGAAAAAUGUACCCACUAGAACAGCAAAUGGUAAGUCCCUGUCUCUGGCGGAUUGCCCAGGGAAGUCAGAAAGGAAUGGACAUCAUAGUAGAGAACGCGAGCCGGAAGGGAUGCUCGCAUUUCCUUCUCGUCGAGGCCAGACUAAACCAAAGAUUGCAGCUAGACAGCCACCACUGCAUUCCUAUGUUUUACGGCCUUUAUCGACUACAGCCGAUCGACGAAAGGCAUCUCUGAUCCAUCGACUCACCACUGAACGGCUUUAGCUUUCUUUUUCUACUCGAUCGAUGAGGACUUGAAAGAGAGCUGCCUGGACCGCUAACCACUUCUUGCUAACAAAGGGGGGGGCGCACCCUCACUUAUAUUACACUCCCUUUUGAAUGUGCACCUAACAAGCAAAGGUUCUCGGGACCGCUUUUACGGCUACAAAGCAAUCAAUCCUCAGCAUUCCCACUAAAGCACUUAAGGGGGCAUUUCCGCACUAAGAUAUAAAAUGUUAAAAGCACGCAUUGAUGCACUAAUGCUAAGGGCUGGUGCUUAUAGCUCUUUCUACUGUGGAAUUCUAGUCCAUUGUACCUAACCUCUAUUCACAUCGCAAAUAGCGGAUAAGGCACAUCUGAUCUUUCUUCUUCAGUGCCAGGCAUAAAAAAGAGCUAGCAAUAAGAGCAAAAUCUUGGAGCUAGAGCAUACGUUGAGCCAGCUUUGCCAGAUCGGACCGCGUUCGUCUUAGAGUACCAGUCAAGCUCAUCACUAGGUGCAGUUUUUUUUGUUCUUUGGUCAUUUUUGGUAACCUGGUAGAUCUACUGAACCUAUUCUAGAAAGGAGUUUCGAAGGGCUGCAAAACUGGUAACCUUAGCCCAGAACUCAAUUUACGGCCCCCUCAAGGUUAGGGGCACUCAAAAGCGCCGUUGUCAACGGUGCAAUCUAUGGUGCCUCCAAGGCAUCCAGCCGAUCCUUACCCUUCCAAGUAAGAAAAAGUACACCACACUUUUCGAUCAGCUUUGCUCACGAAUUCACAUUCAACGAAUCCUAUAUUUAUUGGGGAAGCUUUUGAUUCUUUGCUAUUUCCUCUUUCUCCUCCCUAUUAUUUGAUUAGUACUGCCUGAAAAGAGUUACCCGUAAGAGGGACAGUCAUAACAAAAUUAUGAUUAGCGGUUUUGAAUGGGGAUUCUGUAGGGCCUUGGCGGCCCGUAAGGGGUUCAUACCACAGGUAUAAAUCUAUUCCACUCUUUUUUUUUCUUCUGGGUCGCCAACUUUCAUUCCCUUCCUUUGAAGGAAUUGGUCGGCUUCCUCGCUUUCGCGAGUGUGUAGCUCUUCGAACUUGGUGACCUCUACUUUCGAGAGAUUGUUAGGCUCCAUGGCAUUCCUGGAACAAACUAUCACUUCUGAUCGGGAUUCCAAGUUCAUGAGUCACUUUUUUCGCUAUUUGCCUACUCUUCUGCUUAUAUAAUACUUCUAUCUGGUUGGUUAUUCCUUGCUUGAGAAAAGAGAAGGUGAUUCAAUCAGAGAAGAGUGGAAAGAGCUUACUCCAACGUAAGGAGGGAAAGCAGCCUCGCUCAGCGCGAAAUAGCGUAUAUAUAGAAGUUCCACCUCUUAAUCCAAUAAAUUAGCUCAUUUUAGUUUCAAUUCCUAUAUUCUUUCUUAUUUUGAGCUUGAAAGAAGAACUGGUAGGCUUGGCGCCCUAGGCCCCUUUAGGUCAAGUAAUAUCCUAUGGUUCCCUCUUAGCCCUUUUCUCAGCCUAUUCUAAUAACCUUUCACUAUUCUAUUAGUUCAACGGUUGUAGAAAGAAAGUCUACUGGACGUGGGAAAACUGACUGAUAGUGAGAACUAUUUCAAAGAGACUGAUAGUGAGACUGAGAGUGAGAACUAUUUCAAGAUGAUAGGCUUGUCGCCCCGGAGUGAAGUUCUUCCCGGGCGGGGAGAACGAACGAUGUUGAUUGGCAUAAGGCGCCUAGUCACAUUCCGAAGCAUUGCCUCUUCGUUGAAAGUCAAAAGGGAGUGAUGUGAUUCCCAGGUGGGGAUCACGAACGAUAUAUAGCACGACGAACGUCGACUCGACCUAAUUUCUUAAGUCAGUCUCUUAGCCACCGACCUCCUAUGUUCUCAGUCUUCAAUUUCCCCUUUCUUGAGAAAAAGCCGGAAAGAAUAAAGAAAGAUAUUGAGAAAGAUUAUAUACUAUAUUAUCGGUGUUGACAGAACACAGGUAGGCUUGGCGCUUAGUAUAUCGUCGAAAAGAAAAGCAAGAUGCUUAUUAUCUUUUAGACUUUAAUACAAUACUCGAAAUGCACGAGAGUAAAGUAAUUCCAGGGAUGCUUAAUCGACGAAGUAAGAUAGAUGAGAUUGAAUCGGCUGAAAGAGAAGGUAAGACUUAAAGAAGCUAACAGCAGAUCUUAGUUCUACCUAACAGGUAAUCCCAGAUUCAUAAUGUGAAAUGAAGUCACUCUGGAGGUAUGAUUAUAUGAUUGAAUGAUCAAGCCUGCUAAUCCGAGCAUUGAACAGGAAAUGUCAGUGACUUAAAGGAGUGAAGAGAGCAUUAUCCGUCGAGCUACUUCUUUCCUAGCUUCGUCAGUUUGUCUAGGAGCAGGAGUAAGAAUUCAUAAGUAGUGGUGAAUCCGUGUAGCUGUCAGCAACAAUGGUAGUUGUUUAUUCUCACCUGCUAGCUGCUUUGAAGCCGACUUAUUCUUUCUCUCUUUCCCCUGAAUAGGGAAAUGAGUGUAACUCAGUGUAACGAUUCGUUUUCAUCACUCCAUCCCUUAGGAAAGUCGGCAGGAUAGCUUCUUGUUGUCAUCAACAUAAAGAAAUAAGGUGCGCAAUCCAAGCGCUAAAUAGACUGGGGAAUCUGUGCUAGGUAUCAGGAAACGGAUGAGAUCCGGUUACACUCUUCCUUAGCUAGCACUAAGCUAUUUCAUAACAUUGUCUCACACGGGAGAAGAUUCAAAUAGAAGAGGGUUUUAGUGGCUUCGGAAGGAGCCCUAUCUAUUAGGGUUAGACAACUAAUAUUGUCUAGUAGAGUAAAAUAUAGGAUAAUUGGCAAUAGGUGAAUUCACCAGUUCAAUAAGGAUUGAUCCAUUAGCGCUGAUAGCUCUAUUUCGGGUGGAUAAAGGAAAAUCUCCCCCUUUGCCUUCCUGAGUUCCCCUAGGAUUGAUAGCUUUUGGCCAUUGUCUUAUACUAGUGCAAGGUUAGAGUCGAAUUUCAAGUAAACAAUAGGGCAAUCAAAUGCCAACUCUACUGCAGCUUUACCACUUCCUGUAUGCGUACUGGCUUCCCUAACUGCUGGAUUCAAUCCACUUGCUCAUUGCCUUGAGAAAGAAAACUGCUCAAUCCGGAGAAAAAUCCGAUUAGAGUAGUUCUCUAGAAGCCCAUUAUAGUAAUACUGCAAAGAACGCAUAUGAAAGCUGUCCUCGAUCCCCCCUUUUUCCUGACUUACUUUUUGGGAAAUGAGACUUCCCGCCUUGAUCAAUAAUCAUUUUGAUUUUCCUGAUAGAUUGCAUUGGUCUAAAAUGCUAGCUUGAAAAGGAAGUCCCUUACACUAGUCCAAUUCUUUUUUGGUUAUUAGCAAGCUUUGAAGAACAUUUUCUCGAUCUUCACUUCAACUGGCCGGAUGUGGAUGGAACGUAUGCUACGAGUGCUUUAGUUGCGACGUGGGUACCGGUUGUAUUCGUUGUUGAUUCAACAACAGCCUAAGUUUCCUUAUUUCAACAAAUUUCCUGUUCGGGUAGGAUAGUGAGUGUCAGGAGAAAGAAAAGAAUUAGAAGCGUCUCUCAUAGGUUCACCAAUUUAUUGACUCUUGCCAGGUAGCCCGAUGUCUCAUCGUAAGAUGUUGGUGAGUCUUGGGGCCAAGGGCUUCUUCACAGCCUGAAACCCGGUUCCCUUGCUUUAUUGAAUCCCGUAAGUCACUUCGUUCUCCAGUCUCCUUCUAGGCUUCUAGUAGCCCUUCUUCCUUCCACCAAGAUAAACUGGAACCUUAUAGCAAGAAUAGCCCUAGAGGGUCUUACCCUUACUCCAGACUUAGACACUCUAUCUAUUAGGCUCUCUUUUAACUGCUAUGAGACUUAUUAACAACGUAUGAUAAUUCAAACUUUUAGAACUCUUAGACACGGUAAGAAGACUAGACAUAUAAAGUCCUUCUCUUUUCUAGCGGCUCUUCCUGAGUUUAGUCAAGCCCCAUCCCCGAGUCCCAGCUCCUUCGGACUUAUUUCAAUAAAUUCAAUAAAAAGGGGUGCAAGUGAAUCAGAGCUUGAGAAUAUAGCUAUUGCGAAAACUGUCUCUGCAUAGGGGAAUGCCAACGGCUUCAAGCAAGGAACGUAGUAACUAAACUCUAAGGAGAGGAUAGAAAGUUCCAUGUCUGAGAAGGAAAGGAUAUCUUGGCAAGAAGAUAUGUGUGGCCAGUAGCUUUCACUGUCAAUCUGUUCUCGUACUGUAAAGAAGCAUGAAUGGCAUACCGGUUGGAUUUUAUAACGUACAGCCAGUCAUUGUAAAUUUCGGAUAAGUUUCAAGUUAUAACAUAGCCCGACGUCAAGGUGAGACGCCCAGUCCAGCUCUUUAAGAAAGAAGGUUCGUCCUAGCUUAGUCGAAGUCUAAGGCAAAACCAGAAUCCCAACAGUGCGUUGCUAGUAGGAUUUCCUCUUGGAAAGAAAAGACUAGAUAAGCUAUCCAAUCAGUAGACAGGCUGGGAACUCUACGAGGUACGCAGUAACUCGACUGUAGGGAUCCCGUAGAAAGCCUUCUCCGUCAAUAUAUAAUCAUUGAACGGAGGAUAACAGCCGAGAAGGAUAUGAAAGACUACGGUUCAAAGCGAACUAGCUAGAGCGGGAUCUGCUGAACCUGAGGGAAUAAGGAAAGAAGCAAGCUUGGGUGCUUUAUUUCUUUUUGCUUGUAGCAUGAUAUGUAGGCUGAACACAAACCCAAUCGAAGUGAAACUCUCCUUUCCUUACUUGUUCCAAGUAAGAGAAUUGGCAUUACCUUCGAAAGGUAGGAGCUCAAAUCCGGCUCGGUUAGGGUAGACCCAGGGAAAGAGCUGUGCACAAAGGUUUGAACCAUGGGGCUCCUCGAGCAGAUACCAUUACAAUGGAGAAGCUCAUCUUCCCAUUACCGGCGGAGAACUCAAGGGCUCCAAACUCCUUAGGUCUUGUUUUGUAAGCUUGAAGCUUUGAAACCUGUCGAAAUGAACUUACCACUCCACUAACCUAAGCUUACCAGAUCAAUUGUUUCACUACCGAAACCCGUACCGUACACGCCGCUUUCUCGGCUUCCCCUGUAUAGCUAGCCUUCUUCUUCAUACGAAGACUUUGAAUGAGAUAGUGAGAUAGUUCGUAUGAGGUCUUACGCGGAUACUCUUUAUAUAGGGAGAGUUUCUUCAUUAUGCUCGACCGUAAGGUACGUAGUAGCUCGACCAACGUACGUAGUCGCUCGACCAUAAGGGAGAGGAUGGACUGGUUCGUAAGAAUAAUAUAGCUGAGUACAUACUUUGACCCCUUACCAUAAAGCCAGGAAAGGAUAGGAAACCUCGAGCAACGGGAGCUCGUUCACUCGUUCUUCGGUACGUAGCUUCAGCUCACUCGUGAAACGAAUCCGUUGCAACAAAGGAAGCUAAGUAUAGGACUUGUCUGUAGGCAGAAUAGAGUAAGUAGGCCGUUAGGCAAUACGGCAGUAAGUACUGGAGAAAAAUUAUUAGACAGAGGGUUCCUUGGAAGGUAGGCGAACAUUCUUCUUGCUUGGUCUUUUAUAGGUAUGUUAAUGUUCAGUCUUUGGUGCAGUACGCUUGAGUGAGUUCGCUUGAUCUUUGAUAAUUGGCUGCCAUUGUUAUUGCUGUAUACCGUCUAUCUGUAUAUUUCAUAAAAAGACUUUUUUAGUAAGAUCUUAUAUCAUCUGUUCCAAGAGCGAUGGGAUCCCCCUCUAUCACCGGGAGCCCGAGCGGUAUUAAGAAUUGCUUAUAAAAGGAGAACUGGCUAAUGAAGCCUAGCUCGUUUAGGUCCUGCCAUUCCUACCUAUCUAUCAUUGGUCAACUCGUGAAUCAGCUAGACCCGACUUUCUCUUUCAAAUGAAUUGAUUCGCCAGUUUAUGAGCUCACUAAGCCUACAGCCAAUGCUAUAUCUCUUGCUAUGGCUCUUAGCUCAGGGUGGGGUAUCUGGUCAUCACACUAAGAAUGAAGUAGUAUGAUCGGCGGGCAUUGGAAAGAGAGCUUCAGUACAAUUAUCGCUGCUUAGCGAAAUGAGGUACAAAGCACCUUUCCGCUCUUUGCUUUGCGUAUGCUUGUUCGAAAUCCACUUCUUUCGUUGUCUUCUUUGUCUUUUUUUUGUUUGGAAUCUUUCUCUUGGUAUGAGGUUUGAAACCCCGCUUUUUUCCCUUGAGCUUGAGCUUGCAUGCUGCCGGCUCAUCCAUUGCUGAUGCUUUUCUCGCCAUCUAUACCUUUUAUUGCUUUGCUCCUGCGACCGGCGCCCGCGCUAAUGGUGAUCCCCAGGCCCCAAAAUCCUGAGGUAUGUUCCCGGUCUAUAUGCAACUGGAGAAUCUUUUUAUGGAUCUGGAAAUGGAUAUAGAGACUCCCACCGAAGAAAAGAUCUGCUACUCUUUCAUCCGGCAAAAAAAGAGGUUUAGCUUAACAAUGUGUUAGUUGGAGCGAUGGGAUUUGUUUGAUUCCCAUUGCCUGCUGCCUCUUCUCAAUCUAUAUUCAACAGCUUGAAUCGAAACGCUUCGCUGGGUUGAACGAACGGCCACUCUGUAUACUUAGCCGGAAGCAGGGCAUUCCACCGAUUCGAUUGAGUGAGAUUCCCCUAUAGUUUACUUCUGUCCUUUACUAGUUGACAAGUGUUGUUUGAACUCGGAGCCACUCUGCAAACCAAAAAAGCCGUGAGUCAAGAGGUUAGUGACCGUGCGGUAUCGGCAGAGAAAGUAGAGAAAGUAACACAAGUCACAUAAGCAAGCUGUCAAUAGGGAUAAAUGCAGUCAUUUUGCAUACAUAAUCGGCUUUUGAACCAUUCGAUUCGCGGGUCCCCUAAACCUAUGGAUGGUUUCAUAGCGUCUUUCAAGAGGCUCAUCUUGAAUCGAAACGCUUCGUUGGAGUGAACGAAUGAUGUUUCAAGUCCUUUGAUUGUGCGUUUACGCUUUAUUUAAGCAGCUUUGAAUGCGCUUUCUAAUCCGCUUCUGUAAAGAAAGGAGAACAGAGAGGCUCAGGCUAACUCACUGACAUGAUUGAAACCAUGCCUGAAAGGUAAACGAACAAGGAAGAGUGUUCACCAGUAUAGUAGCUAGUCUUGAAAGCAAAGAAGUAGUUCCUUCGCUGCUUGCUUUGUGCGCUAAGAGCUUUCUUUCCUUGCAAAAGUUAGGAUAGUAAGAAUGGAAGAGGAACAUAAAAGGACAUUUUUCAGAGUGAAACUUAACCAAACGCCCUCUCUCUGUAGGACUCGCUAUCUAUGCCCGAACACUUAUUGAGCGAUCCAUUCUAUGAGCUGGGCAGCUACUAGAGGUAGAGAUAAACCUCUUUUUUGUGUUGCCGGUCCCAUUGAUUUCAUUCAAGCUUGUUAUGAUCAGGCUCAUUUGGCUUAGAUCUUGCCUGGAAAUUGGUUAGGGUCGUUCGUUUGGCGCUUCGAGGCUGUCUUCGACUCAUAGAAUAAGGAAGCCCACUUUUUUUUCUCUUUCAGACAAGAAAUGGAGUCAGGGACCGACAUGAAUCUGCACCUUGUGUGCUUUUUCUUCUCUCUUGAUUGGGAAUAAACGAUCGCGAUGUAGUAGGGUCAACUCUAUUAAAGCGGAUCAACAAAGGCGAGAUCAGCUCACUUGCCCACCGACCCCCGUCUCUUAUGCGAUGACACUCGGUCCUUAAACUAGAUCAGAAUAGGAGACAGAGAGGUAGGUAGUCAGGCUUGUAGCAAGUUCUUACAGGACAUAGCUAAACCUUCCGAGGCAAGAUUUACCGCGCGGGUUUAUUACAUUUCCAUGAACGUGAUCUUGCUAGGUCUUUAAUAGUAUUCUUUACUAUGUUCAAAAGGCUUCAAAAAAGAAUAUAGUACAUCUAAUCAUACUGUUAUUAAUGAGUUUUGGGAAAAUUUAUACAGGGAUAUAGAUGAUAAAAGCAGAAAUAAAGAAGAAAAAGCUACGUAUAAUAAUAAUGUUAUGAAAUUAUUGUAUGAUUAUAAGAGGGAUAAAGAGAUCAUUAAUAAUACAAUUGACAGCUCGGAUGAAGAAUUACUUGAGUUACAAAAGAAGAUUGAAGAUAUAACUAGUCAAUUUGAUGAAUGUAGUAUAUUUAAUGAAAUUCCUAACUUAAUCAAACUAUUGAUAAGAAAGGAUCUUAUAAACGCUAAAUCUUAUUUAUAUAAAUAUCUUCCUCGACGAUAUUUAGAAUAGUACUAUUAAUCAGUUUGGUCAAUAUACGCUGGAGGCUAUCAUAAUAUAUGUCUUAGGGUUGUUGUACAACUGUACUCAAGACACCUCAGUUGUGAGGGUAUCUACAUUGUUGGACAAGUUAGAUAGCACAGUUCGAAUACAGGCCAAUAUAAUCAAUAAGAAAAAUAUGGUUAGUAGUACAGCAACAAGUAGUCGAGUUGAUAUCAAAGGUCAUAAAUAUCAAAUUGGUAAAGGAUUGCUCGAGUUCAUGAUUGAAAGAAAGUUGAUCAAAAUUGAGACACUUUCAGCAGACGAUAAUAGAGCAGUAGUGAAAGAGAAAGGAAAGGGUUAUUCUAAAAUGAAUUUAUUCGCUGUAUGUGAUUUUGACAACAAUCUUAUCCCUUUGAAACUCAAUCUUCCAAUAGUUUGCAAGCCUUUAAAGCUGACCGAAACACGUUAUACCUAACGAACUAGGGUAGCUGUGGGACUCUCGCUAGUAUUGACCUCCUGGACUAGUACCGAUGGUGGCUCCUCGGAUGAGUCUUUGUGUGGUUAGGAGUAGGUUCUUGCAACCUUAACGCACUAACGAAAAACCACUUCCAGUUUACAGCUGAUGAAAGUCUGUCCUUUCAUCACAGGCAUCGGGGUGAUCCGCUUCGGGACAACCUCGGCCACAUGGGCACUGGUAGUGAAUUGAUCACGGUAAUAAGUCCGGAUCGAGGAAAAUUCAAAUUCAUACUUAAAUCCCAAUAGCUCACCGAAAACUAGGCCUUUCAUCCCUGUUUUUCUAAUCGGACUCAGAGGGAGGUGAAUUCGCUAAUUUAGGCUUUUUAGUCGGAUUCUCUAAGGCUUGAAAUGGAGUGAUUAGAUUGAUUUCUUUCCUUAUGUGGGUUUGCCUCACUUUUGUAGUCUCUCAUUCAAUUCAUCCCUACCCUAUCAUAGGAAAUUGCGUAGGAAAAGGAGUCCCGUACCCUUCUAAUCGAAGAAGGUGCAUUUCCUUCAACCUUUAUGCUUUUCAACUUGAACAUGUUUUCCACAGCAAGGAAUUCUUUUUUUUGUUGGGAGGGUGGAUCCUAUAAGAAAACUUGCCCCUUUUGGUCGAAAUGCCUAUCAGUCUUGGUGGUCUCGUAGUACACGUCUCUUUUUAUCAGCCUUCGAAUACUUCCGGGCUUCCCUUAGCUUUUAGGUGGAUUCAGUCUCUCCCUCCUAAAAAAGAGAAAUAGUCAAGUGAAAGGAGCCCACUUCGGAGUCGCUCACAGGAGAAGCACUGACCUUUUCUCUUUUCCCUAUCGACUUCGAUAAGACUAAUAAGUCAGGGCGAGCUCUUACUUAGAGAGAGUUAGUUGGGUAGGGUCAAUAGCUCUAAGAUCAUAUCGGAUUCUAACCCUAAGGUGACUUCACUCCCUUUAGAGACGAUUAAAGACUAACAAAGGCAGGGCAGGAGAGAGGGAAACAAAGCAAGAAGUCAUCAUCGCAUCAUAGCGGGUUAAGAACUUAGGCUUAGUGAAUCCCCACUCAAAUUUUGUAUGUAAUGUAAGGAAAUCCUCUCUGUUAAAAGCGGAUCUUUCUAAAUGACUUUCUGAAGCAAAGACUAGAAAAAGAAAGAGAGAGAAGACAGUCAGUCCAGCUAGCAACUGAAUUUCAUGCUUUCAAGCUUAAUGAGUUCAUUCUCUCUAGGGUCAUUGAACUAGUUGAAUGGAAUUCCUUCCCACGCGUACAACAUGCCAAAUCUCAAAGUCGUUUGAUCCCUUUACCAAUCGUAGAAGAUGACUUAUUCUAUCUCCUUGCUAUCUCCAUUGGUUGAACGGGGGGUAUCAGAAGAUCUCUGCUUACCUUAGCCUUAGAUAAAGGAGCUACAUGACUUUCAUUAGCUCCUAGCACAGCAUAUCUGAAUUCACUAUAGGGUUAAGAGUGACUUGCUUAGACUGCUGAAUAACCUUCACUUUAGCGAGCUGUAGGACAAACUACAUUCAAGAGGAGAAAGGAAACUUUGAAUAGAAGGAUCAGUGCCCGUAGCAGUCCUGGAGUUAGGUUNNNNNNNNNNNNNNNNNNNNNNNNNNNNNNNNNNNNNNNNNNNNNNNNNNNNNNNNNNNNNNNNNNNNNNNNNNNNNNNNNNNNNNNNNNNNNNNNNNNNNNNNNNNNNNNNNNNNNNNNNNNNNNNNNNNNNNNUUCCCUAGUUCAAUCCGGAACUACAGAUGUGUAAGGAGCGGCCAAGCGGCUCUGUCCUUUUCAAAGAGGUUAUCCUUCUCUCUCCCCGCUUCUUAGUCUUAUAGGAUAGCUCACAGGGGGAACCUUCCGCAUGAAAGCGAAAAGAAGCGAGCGAUCAAGAAAUGCAAAGAAAAGUUCCACUUCUUCUAAGAUAGAAUAAGAAUAAGCAGAAUUGCUUAAGUAAGGUAGUCGCUUCUUUUUUUCGCUUUCUAGAAAUAUCAUAAGAGAAGAAAGCUGGCAGGUUGGAUCCUAGAGUAGAUUCCUGCUCUUGAAUGAUCGACGAGCUUCCUCUUUAGUUCUUUGAUAUUGGGUUCGUGUGAAGUGUACCGCUCUUUUUAUAUAAUAUAGGAAAUUCCUUCUUUUUUUUGAGCCCUUUUUCGUUUGUGCAUCUUUCUCCCAUGCUUUCCGUUGGUCAACAACCAACUAAAGUGCUCUAUACUUCUUCACUACUCGUACAGGCUUGACGGAGUUAAGCUGUAUUGAGGGAAUCAUCUUUUCUAAAAUCAAAAAAAUAUGAUGCGACGCAUUUUCCGCUUUGAUGAAGCUAGUCUGAACUCAAGUUCCAGUUCCAGUAAUAUAGCUUCGCCUUCGUCUAGUAGUUCAUUCGGACCUAGUAGUAUUGGGAUUCAAAAUCCUACGAAUCAAUCUGCUACGACUAUUGGCGAUUUUAGUCUUCGGUCGUCCAGUACUCAGGUUGAUGGGAGUGGUUCGAGUAUUUCGAAUAAUCAUGGUUUUUUUGAAGGUCUGGACCCUACUACUUCUACUACUCAAGAAAAUAUAGCGGACUACCUAAGGGGUGAAAUCUUUGAAUCCGUUCAAAAAGUCUUCACAAAUCAUUGUUCAGAUGAAGACAAAUUGCGAGCAAUUAGUGAAAAUUUGCAUAAUGAUGAAGACAGCACGGGUUUUCUAAGGGAAAUUAUAGAACAUUUAAAAGACAAACAGGGUGAGCACUAUGACUUUGCCCUAAAAGAAUUUAACGUGAUUGUAGGGGGGACACCUCCGACGAUCACCAGUCCACUUGAACAAUUUGAAAUAAUCCCAUUGAUUCCUAUGAAAAUAGGAAACUUAUAUUUCUCAUUCACAAAUCCAUCUUUGUUUAUGCUACUAACUCUCAGUUUGGUCCUACUUUUGGUUUAUUUUGUUACUAAAAAGGGAGGAGGAAACUCAGUACCAAAUGCUUGGCAAUCCUUGGUAGAGCUUAUUUAUGAUUUCGUGCUGAACCCGGUAAACGAACAAAUAGGUGGUCUUUCCGGAAAUGUUAAACAAAAGUUUUCCCCUCGCAUCUCGGUCACUUUUACUUUUUCGUUAUUUUGUAAUCCCCAGGGUAUGAUACCUUAUAGCUUCACAGUUACAAGUCAUUUUCUCAUUACUUUGGGUCUCUCAUUUUCGAUUUUUAUUGGCAUUACUAUAGUGGGAUUUCAAAAAAAUGGGCUUCAUUUUUUAAGCUUCUUAUUACCUGCAGGAGUCCCACUGCCAUUAGCACCUUUUUUAGUACUCCUUGAGCUAAUCCCUUAUUGUUUUCGAGCAUUAAGCUCAGGAAUACGUUUAUUUGCUAAUAUGAUGGCCGGUCAUAGUUCAGUAAAGAUUUUAAGUGGGUUCGCUUGGACUAUGCUAUGUAUGAAUGAUCUUUUAUAUUUCAUAGGGGAUCUUGGUCCUUUAUUUAUAGUUCUUGCAUUAACCGGUCUGGAAUUAGGUGUAGCUAUAUCACAAGCUCAUGUUUCUACGAUCUUAAUCUGUAUUUACUUGAAUGAUGCUAUAAAUCUUCAUCAAAGUGCUUAUUUUUUUAUAAUUGAACAAAAGCGAGUCUGAAUGGGUAUACUUAGUCGUGGAGCAUUCCGAGUCUUUGCUUUAGGGAUCGUUCCUGCGCAUCUCCUUACUUUAUAGCAGUUAUUGCUCCGGUUCCAGAAGGUAUAUAGCUCUCGCCUCAGCUUUUUCUUUGAAAUCGGAGACUGUUCCAAUUUCCUACUGAGAUAGGCAAGCGGAGGGAGAACUAGACGUAUCUUGCUAGGCAAAGACAGGUUAGAAUGGAUAGCUCGCGGGUGGGAUUGACGGGAUAGAUCACUAUUGCAGAAGGAGGUAGAACCGGGGGAAGAAUUAUGGCUAUAAAGGUCCUCGCCCUCUUAGGCACAUGGUUCUAAAGAUUCAAUCUCAAAGCGGUACUAAAGAUUAGGCAGAAGAAGAACUAGAACUCGAAUUCUUCGCCCCUCCCCCUGUACCAAGAAGCAAGUUCAGAACAUAAGGAUAAUGGGCUCGUCUAUUAGAAGUUAUUAGUUUACGGAGCUAUCUCAGAUAUCUCGAGUAAGGAGACGGGACGGGUUUGAUAGUUAGAGUUCUAUUUCUAGGAAGGAAGAGACUAUCGGGAAGCUCACUCUCGGCCGGGCUCGAAGCAGAGGGUAGAACGUAAUAUCUCUUGUUGGUUCAGCUCAUCAAGCUAUUACAAAAGAGUCCUCAAAGAAAGCAAGCAGCAAGUCAGUCUGCGCAUAGCAUACUCUCUCAGUUCUUCUCCUUUUACGACCGGUCGAAGGGGAAUGGGCCAACUCGAAAUGGACCAAUUCGAGAAAAGGGUCAAGAUAUGGUGCUGCGGUCAGAACAAGGAAUCCUUUCUAGGAGGGUAAUGCAAAUUGU